rnacentral:lncRNA from 1 species
UUCACUAGAUUUUUAGAUGCUGAGAGUGUCAACACAUUUAUCAACCUGUGACACUUCGAUACUUCUAGUCCCCACAGAUUUUCCAAAUGCCACGAAGGUGGUACUAAUUUUUGCAACUUACUACGUUCCGAUAUUUCUAGACUUCCCAUGUUUGCAAACGCUUUGUUGGAUUCGUCAUUUUCCUUCCAGAGAUGCUGCACUUUGUGUAAUCUAGAUAGCUUUAACUCCAUCAAUUGAGGGAAUGCAACCUGAAAAUCAACAAAAUUAAGCAGUAAAUGAAAAUAUGUAUCCAAUCUCUGGAGUCUUCCCCUGCAUAUUUUAUGGACAAGAUUAAUCACGACAUUUUAUAUUUUUUUUCCAAAUUAGUAUGCUUUGCAGUAGGUUCCUAAAUAUAAAUAUCAAAUCGAUUACCCUUUGAAACACAUAAAUGAAAUCUGAGGCUAAAUCCAAUAUGAAUUAGCUAGGAAAACAGAGAUGUAACACACAUAAUUAAUAUAGUUCAUCACCUCGUGUUACCAGGCAUCCAAUUAAUUUCAGACAUUUUUAUAAUUCAUACUAUAAAGUUAGUUAAUAACGGAGGUUAUAUUGUUAAAUCAGAUAUAAAUUAAGACGACGUGCAAAAAGAUGAGUCAUUAAAUUUGAUUUAAUUCUAAUGAAAUUACAUCUAUGCGAACGAAAGUGAAGGGAAAAAUAAUAAUAAUAAUAAUCACAUUUUCAUCGAAGAGGGGUUGUACUUGAUGAGCCAGCAAGAAGUUCUCUUCUGAUGUUAAUUUUUGAGGUUCCUUGUUAUCUGUUGUCACGUGCACUACAGAGUUGGAUAUGAAUGUUUCCAUAUCAGGGCAAUUCUCAAUAGUCAGACGUUUCAACUCAGGCAUUUCAAUUAUAUUCUCAGUGAAGUUGGGAAUCUUUUGAGUUUUGGAAGAUCAAUGAGCCUUAGCUCGAAAAAGCUUAGGAAACAGGGGGCCUAUAUGUUCUUUGUCAACACUUAGCUCUUCCAAAUGAAGCACCUCUGCUAGCGAAUCACAAUUCCUCACUUCCAGGUCCAUCAAAUUGUUCAAGCACCGUAGCAGAUUGGCAGGAAUAGCACUCGACAUAUUCGUGCAGUCAUCCACCACCAGGUGUCCUAAAUUGUUGAAGAAGCUGACAGGCAGUGCUUGGCCAUGCCAUAUUUCUUGCAAACGUGGAAAAUGCGAGAGUUGCAAAUACUUUAUGUCACGAAAUCCAAUCUGCACAAACCAAAACAAUUGCACUGGAUAUAUACAAUUUUUUACUUUUUGAAAGGCACAGACAUAUAUACAUUAAACUUACAUGUUUUGUGCUUAAAUGUGCAAGUGCAAGGGAGAUGCAUGAGCAAUUUUGAUGAAUCGAUUCACACAAAUCAUUUCUUUGUAACACUUUUGUAUAGUGGAAUUAAGAUUGCCUUCACGAUCGUGCAAUUCACCCUCUUCCUUUUUAGUCACUUGCACUUUGUGCAGCUUUGGUGUGGAUAAGAUUCCCAGGGAAAAAGUCUUCAUGUUCGGACAAUGUGUCACAGAUACUUGUUCCAAUGAUGGGAAUUCAAGAGUGUAAUUCUCCAAGCAAAAGCUGGCAAGCCUUGGUAAAUCAUCAAGUAUCAAAAGUUUUAAUUUGCUGAAAGCAAUACGAUUCUCCUUCGCUUCUUCUCCAACAUGUCCUAUGAUUUCUUCUAUUUUUUUGCAGAUUGAUACAUUAAGAUUCACUAAAAUACCCGGAAUUCCAACCUGAAAAUAAGCAAAAGAGUGUGUGUGUAUUAAAAAAGUAAAAAUUAAGAGUAUCAUUCAACUAGGUUCAAAGUAUGUUUAAAUCAUACAAUUAUACGUUUUAUAAACAUAACAAACCAUGAAAUGGCUACUAGAUAAUUUUUGUUAAACAAAAAAGGCAACAAGAUAAGUAAAUGCAUUUACACUAUUUAGUAUUAGGAGAUAAACAAAGAUAAUAAAAACGCAUUUACACUAUUUAGUAUUAGGAGCGUAGAAAGAAUUUAAGGCAAUUUCUAAAUAUUUUAGACUUAUUUUGCAUUUCGAUGCAAAUUUUUAAAUAAAUUUGAAAUUGCAACUAUUCCUUUAAAAAAAAACUCAACCAAAAUGCUGCUUUUUCCAUUUUCCUUGGUCCCUUUUUUUUAUGUAUAUUAAAAAAUGCAAAAAAAAAAUGGAAAAGACUUCCCAAUACUGUCAACGUAGGACUGUUGUAAAGCGGGUCUUUAUUAAGUACUUCCAUGAAUUUAUGAUUAAUUAAUGUCAUAAUCAAUUCAUAACUAAACUAGAGAUAUUAAUUAAAUUUGAAGACUUUUCUUUUUCUUUUUUUCCAAACGAAAUGUCAAGAAUUAAGGAAAAGAGAAAUAUAUAGAUGAAUUUGUGAACCUAUAAGAUGAGUGACUAUCCUUUAAUUUUUGAAAAUCGUACUUAUUAAGAUAUGAGAAAAACAAUUAAAUUGAAUUAUAUUAUGCUGUUGAAUCGUGUUUAAAAAAAUUAUAUUGUUGAUUCUAAUAAUGGCGAACCUAAAAACUGGACUUAAAACGUAGAUUUCAGAGUGGUGGUUCGAAGUACAAUACUUGAAAUAAAUAAUUAGUGCCUGAAUAUCAUUCGUAAACACAAAAAUGGUUAAAAAAUUGUUGGAUGUAAUUUGAAAAAAAAGAUUCGAAAUGAAUACAGCAACCUUACCAAUGGAGGAAAAAUAUUCAUUAGGUUAUCACACCAAGAUAUCUUCAAAUUCUUCAAUUUGCUGAAAGACUCUGAAGCAAGCUGGUGGUGCCAUAUUCUUCUCAAAUUAUCCAUCCACCAAAUAUGUAAUUCCUCCAACUUCGGAAGUCGUACCUGGCAGUUAAAGGUUAAAUAACUAAUUAAUCGGCAUAAUCUAUUGAUAACCAAAUUAGAGGCGGAUAUUAACUAAAUUUGAAGACUCAAGGAAAAGACAAAUUAAAUAUUGUGGCUAAAAUUAAUUUAAAAAAAAAAAAAACCUUUUCGUCAAAGAGAGGUGGAGAUUGCAUUUCAGAAUGAAGGGUGUCUGCUGGUGAGCUCGUAGAGAUGAAUCUUAACAUAUUAUUGCAACCACCAAUCUCGAGGUUUAGUAAAGAAGGGAAUUCAACAACUAAAUCUGAAUGAAUAUGUCCCGUAUUGGCAAAGCUCGUUAGUUUUGGAAGCACACAAAGCCGUAAGGAGUGUAGUUUAGGAAAAACCUCUAACUCAAUCAACUUUCCUUCAUCUCUUCCUCCUAACCACCCUGUGGUGUCGACUACCCCUUCCAUCGACUUACAAGAUCUUAUCACAAGAUGUUGGAGUUGCAAAAGACUAUUAACCAUAGAAUAUGAAAACAGAUACUUCAGACGAUCACAACUUUCCACGGUCAUUUUUGUUAAAUUUCCACAAUAAGACACUCCCUGAAACUGUUCGGGCCAUAAUUUUUCAAUGGUUGUUAACCAUAUAAGUUUCAACUCCUCCAAGCGUGGAAAAAUAACCUGAAGCAAAACGGUACGCUUUUGUUCCGUCAAUUACAACUGUCUAAUAUAAUAAUCUUUUGAUGAUUGAAGAUCAAUCGUGAUAAUAUAUUAAUUUAUUAAUUAUAAAACAGAAAAUUAUCACCUUGUGAACAGAAUCAUCCUCUGCAAUGAUUUCUGUCAAUCCCUGAGUAGCUGUUGGCUUCUCCAUGUCGGGCCCUAUAAAUGAACAAAAACAAUCUAUAAUUAACCUCUGUCCUUUUUUUUUUAAAAAAAAGAGAAAAAAGAAUGAGCCAAUGUCAAUAAUCCUACCAAUAAUUAAUUUCAACACUUACCAAUAAUCAUUUUCAAAUCAUCGCAGUUUUCCACUUCUACUUUUUGAAGCCGCAAUAGGUUUUUGGCCAUGAAGAAUGAGAAGAGAUGCUUCAAUUUGUCACAAAAAAAUACUUUUAUAAUCCUUAAGUUGCUGAAAGAUUGAUCUUCUCUGAGUUGGCUGUAGCAUAUCGUUUCCAAAUUAGUUAAACCAAUAAGAUACAAUGUCUCCAGCAAGGGAAAGACUUUGCAACGAGCUCGUCCAAUUGAACCGACAAUAUGUAAAAUCUCAGGACAGCCUGCUACUAGAAGAUGCUCCAAUUGUGGAAAACCUUCCCCAUCGUCUAAUUCAUGAACAACACUCGGAACACCAUUCAAUGUUACUAGACGGAGAUCUUCAGUUCUUUUUAGCAACAUUUUCAUCCCAUAAUUCUCCAAAAGAAUGCUAACGUUUUCUAGCUCCUGGAGUUUCAUUGAUCUUGAUGUUUCAGAUGUCAAUUUUUCUAGCUCCGUGAUAACUAUGGAUGCUGAUGCUCUAGAUGUGGCGAAGGACACAAGUCCAUUUCGUUGCACUUUUCCUAUACAUAUCUGAUACCUUUGCAAUUCCACAGAGACCAAAUCCUGCGGCAGAAUUUCGGGAUCCGGAACAUCUAUCUCCAAAGUAGUUAGCAAUAAUCCUACCAAUAAUUAAUUUAAACACUUACCAAUCAUCAUUUUCAAUUUAUUGCAAUUUACCACUUCUACUUUUUGAAGCCCCAAUAGGUUUUUGGCCAUAGAGAAUGAGAAGAGAUACUUCAAUUUUGGACAGGAAUAUACGUAUAUAAUCCUUAAGUUGCUGAAAGAUUGAUCUUCUCUGAGUUGGCUGUAGCAUAUCGUCUCCAAAUUAGUUAAAUUAAUAAGAUCCAAUGAUUCCAGCAAGGGAAAGACUUCGCAACGAACCCGUCUAACUGAACCGACAAUAUGUAAAAUCUCAGAACAACCUGUUACAUGAAGAUGCUGCAAUCGUGGAAAACCUUCCCCAUCGUCUAAUUCAUGAACAACAUUCUGAACACCCGUCAGUGAGUAUAGACGGAGAUCUUCAGUUCUCUUCAGCAACAUUUUCGUCCCAUCAUUCCCCAAAAGAAGGCUAACUUUUUCUGGCCCCUUGAGCACCAUCAAUGUUGAUGUUUUAGAUUCGACGAGUCGUCGGUUAGACAUUUGUCCUAUAAAUAUCUUAUAUCUUUCCAAUUCCAUAGAGACAAAAUCCGGCGGCAGAAUUUCGGAAUCCGAAACAUCUAUCUCCAAAGUAGUUAGCUUUGACAACCCCUUCAACUCGACAAGACUGGCAUUACUUCCUCCUUCAACCUUAUCCCACUGUGAAAAGCUGCAACCCAUGUACAGUUCUUCUAGUCGAGAUAAUUUGGAUAUGAUGUUAGGAAAUUGGUGGGUGCAGCAGGACCGCAGCUAAAAUAAAAUUGGAAAUAAAAUAAAGAACAAGCACACUAGAGGACACAAGAAAAUUACGUGGUUCGGCUUUUAGCCUACGUCCACGGGCGAAGACAGAAGGAAAUAUUUUACUAGUGAAAAGGAGUUACAAGUAUUGUAGUAUUUUAGCUCACUUCCCAAAAUCCCAAUACACCCAAACUCUCAAAACACUAAACACUCAAGAGUUUAUUAAACUCUUAAAACUCUCAACACUCAAAGAAAGCAAUGCUUCUCUCUCGAUGGAAUUGGAUGAAAAUGAAUGAGGAAGCUCUUCCUUUUAUAGCCAAAAAAUGGCUAUUAAAUUAAUAUAUAUAUGUAUAUAUUUCAAAUGUAGUUACCAACUUCUUCUUUUUCUCCAUUUGGAUGGCACCAUUUUCUUUGGCCGGCUGCACCAUUUUCUUCUUUCAAAUGUCAAACCCUUCUAGAUGCAGCCAUGCCAAACACUUCUAGAUGCAGCCAACUUUGACAUAUGACAUUCGGUGUUAUCACCUCAAGCCUCCUACAAUUGCUCAAAUCCAGCAACUGUAACCGCGUCAAUUGUCCAAAUUCAAGUGGCAACCGCUCAAUAUCGGAACCUCGAAAGCUAAGAAUCUCUAAUUUCUUUAGCUGUCCAACUAUUACUAUAUCUUUUAGUCGGCAAUAUUCUAAACACAAUGUUUGAAGGUUAAUGAGGCGACCAAGUGAUGAAGGUAAUGAAGAGAAGUGAAUUCCAGUAAAAUUCAAAACUCUGAGUCCUUCCGUCCCAUCAAAAAAGUGGUCUGAAAUUGGCAUAGAGCCACCACCCUUUUCAAGCAACAAAAGUAACUCGAGACGGGGACAUUGCAACCUUUCAGGAAGCACUUGAAUACCUCUAUAAGGUAAAGAAAUAGCAAUUGGACCUUCCUGUACUGUCUCUUCCAUCUUUUUGUCCAAGUCGGCAACAUUUGGAAUAUUAAACAUGAGCUCCUCUUUUGCAAUUGAUACGGCAACUACACGAAUGACGUCAUGCAUUUUGACUUCAUCUUCAGCAUCACCGUCCAACAAUAAGCAUGAAGAUUUGAGUUUGCUGAUCAACGUAUGCACUGUACUCCUUGCUUCUUCCGGUGUGUAAACGUUUCUAAAAUAGCCCAUACCCAUACCAUAUCUCAAUAAAGAAGAAACUGGUAUAGCAUGACCUUCACUAAAUAGACCACAAAGAAGGAACAGAGAUUUUGCUUCCUUAUUUCCCAGUAAGUCGUAACUCAAUUUCAAGGAGAGGUACACAUUUUUUUCCAUUCCAUCAAUUUCUUUUGCAUAGGAACUUCUUAGCUGACGCAGCACAUAUUUCCAAGUCUCAAGGCUCAUAUUUUUCAAAGCUUUUGCAAGUGUAAUCAGUGCAACCGGCAGUUCUCCGCAUCUUCCGACGAUCUCAUGUGCUAUAGGUUGAAAAGCAGAUGUUUUCAUUGAAUCACCCACUAUCUUCUGAAAUAAAUGCAAUGCUUCUUCUUUUGAUAAAGCAUCGAUCUGGAUCUCUUUCUGAGAAUUCAUAACAUUGCGCAAUAAAUCUUGACGUCUAGACGUCAGUAUUAUUGUGCAUCGUCGCUGAUCAUCCAUUCUUUCUUUCUUAACAUCCCCGGAAGGAAUUCCAACUUCAUCGAACUUCAGUUCUCCCCAAAUAUUAUCCAAUAUAAUGAGAUGCCGCUCCUCGUUCUUCAAAACUCGACAUAGUCGAUUUGCUCUGUCGAAUAUACUCUCAUUCAACUCAAACUUUAUGCCUAAAUCAGAAGCAAGUUUGUCUUGAAUUUUCUGAUGAUCUGGGUUCUCUGUUACCUCAGCCAUAGCGACCUUAUCGAACAACUUAUCUUCCGUCACUUGCUUUGCAACUUGCUUGACGAGCGUGGUUUUACCCACUCCGCCCAUCCCGUAGACCCCAAUUAUGUUGAGCUUAUCAUCCUUCAACGCCUCCAAAACAUCUUGAAAUACUUUCUUUCUUGAGUCAAAGGCCUCGUAAUCUUUCACUUGCAUAUAUUCUGUACUCUUUGGAGCAGGACGAUAGGAAACACUAGAGAAGUUGCCUUUUCCCACGAGAUCAGCAGCAUCUUUUGCGGCCUUUGCUGCUUUUUUACUGAGUUUGUAACGAGACAACAAAUUUGGGCACAAUCCUUUGAAGCAAUACUUCUUGGCUCCAUUUUCAUCAUCAAUAAUGGAGUUUGCAACCCCUUCACUGAUGAAUUCAUCAACGCUAUGUAGCCAAUCUGCGACACCCUCAUAAAGCUCAUCCCCUUGUAGCCUAGCAUGAUUAACUGGUUGCUGCACCAUUUCUCUUUUACAUCCCAGCUGCAUUACUUGAUCUUUUAGCUCAUCUACGUAGCUCUGGUACUUGAACACAUAAGAUAUCUGCCGUAUAAUCGGUUUGAACAGUGACUUUGCACCUUCUGAUACGAUGCUUGAAAAACCACCGAGACAGAAUUCUACAGCCAUUGCCUGUUGCUUAACGAUGUAUGUGUAGUUUUUGGCUGUUAAAAAAAACAAAAAUUGGAUUCAAAUAAAUUAAAUGAACUAGAGGGGAAGAAAAAGAAAGAAACGACAACAAACAACUUUUUAGAGAAAGGUUGAUAUUGUUACAGAACACAUGUUCAUUUUUAACAAAUUGAUCAAUAACUCUAUUCGCUAUUUAAUUGAUAUUGUAACCAAUUUUAAGAGAAUAUAAUAAUAAUCCUUCGAUGCAUAAAUUUAGAAUUAGAUUUUUUAACUUUUUAUUUAAAUAUAAAUCUCAAUGGAAAAUUAUAAAAAUUUAGAGAUAAAAUUUUUCAAUCACCAAACGGAAAAACAGGGGAAUGAAAACAGAGGAAUCUUGUUUUACCUUUUUUUUUUUUUAACCUUCACUCUUGUUCUUAUAUAAAUAAUCUUGUUCUGAUGAUAGUGCUCGUGACUGCAGGAAAAUUUCUAGUGGAAACAACUCAAUUUCAGAAGAAUUUAUUCAAUUGACUCUGUACUUGAACUCGUUGGAUUGGUUGAUUUAUGAUUGACUGAAUUUAUUCAAUUCGGCCUAAAAGAUCUUUAACCAAAGUUUAAUAGCUAUCAUCUACUCCUUAAAAAAAAAUAUGUAUCUUUUUUAGAUUUGACUGAAUUUGAACUUGCUGGAUUGGUUUUUUUUAGAUUAUUAAAAUGGGGCACUGCAAAGUAAGUAUUCUAAAAUCUGUAUGUUGCUUUAGAAAAAGGGCUUUUCCCACUGAUCUUUAUUCUUCAAGUAAACUUAGAUACAAAGUAAAUCUAAAAAAAUGACAAACAAACAAUGAAAUAAACGACAACAAACUGGCAAUUUUGACACAAAGCCAACAAUUAAAAUUUAGGACAUUUUUUUUUCUUGCUUUCUUUUUUUGGAGGAUUAGAGAUUUUGGUAUUACCAGAAAGGUUUCAAGGGUCUGAGUUUCAAGGGUCUGAGUAGAAACCUAUAAUCUUUUGAAAAACUUUGUUUUUUUUUAAAAAAAAAUUUGGGGAAAGGAUGCAAAUUAACCAAAGGAAAUAAUAAGAGCACAGGCUUUAACAAUGAACAAUAACUUAAAACUCAUGCAAAAUAAAUUCAAUAUUAAAGCAAACCAGAGAAAUUUUUUUCUUGAAAAGUAGAUGGAAAUUAUGAAAGAACAGAUGUCAAGAUCAAGGAUCAGGGAUUCUACUACCCAAAAAAAAAAAAAAAAAAUUAAAGGAUUUGGAAAAUGUGCACCUAGAGUUGGUGAGCUUCUCUCUAUUCACUUGAAUAUUUAAGAACAGCUGGGGAAUGUGUGAGAAAAGAGUUGACGAGAGAAAUAACAAUGACUUGCAGAAGAAAAACCAUUAAUCAAGCACACCUUUUUAUAUCCUGUAUUUGGUUAUUGUUGCCCUCUUGACGCAUGUAGAGAAUAAUUAUGUGCAUUUUUGUUUUUAAUCCGCAUGCACUUUAAUGAUUAGUGCUCCUUUCAUAAAGCAGAUACCGGAAACACACAAAUAUCAUUUGAGAGAGAAACUAAACAGCAAAUCAUCAAAGUAAGAUCAAUAAUAUAUGAUUUGGUUAAUGCAUAUUCAAGAACAAAAACAAAAAUAAAUAAAUAAAGAAGGUUUGAUUUUGUUUUGCCAACGCUGCUUUUUUGUUAUUUCUCACUCAUCUUCAAUCCUCAAGUAAAAUUAGGUAAAAAGCAAAUAUAAUAAAAAAACAAACAAAUUAACAAAAAAAGAAAAAAAAACAUUGAUCUUGAGACAACUGAUACUUCAAAUUAACCAAAGCUAGUAAUAAGAACACAGACCUUACAAAUGAACAAUAACUUACAACUCAAGCAACAUAAAUGAUAAGAUUAAAACAAACCGGAGAAAUUUUUCUUGGAAAAUAGACGGAAAUUAAGUAAGAACUGCUGUUAAAAGAAAUUAUUAGAGGAUUUAGGAGCAUGUGUACCUCUUUAAUUAUUUGGGAUCAGAGAGUUGAUGAGCUCUCUAUUCGCCUUGAAUAUUGAGUAAGAACUGGUAUUAAAAGAAAUUAUUAAGAACAAUAUUUUAGUGAGCAAAAUAUCACUGUUAACUGCAGAGGAAUUUGUGAGUAAAAUGCUGAAAAGAGCAGUAACAAUGAAUUGCAAAAGAAGAAGACUUAACCAAGCACCCCUUCUAUACCCGAUUUUUAAGAUUUAAUUUUGAAGUUCAGAAUCAAGAACAAAGACGAAGCUUUAAUAAAGCAUGCAGUGAGAUACAAGAAAUGGAUCGGGCAAAAUACCUUACGAAGCGUUUCAUAUUUUCUAAUGAAAUAAUUUAGUUGAAGUUUUCGACGAAUAAAUACCUGUUGUGCUUGAAUAAUUUUGGCAUAUACAUUACUUGUAUCCGGCGAAAUUGAAAAGCACACUCAUUUACAGAGCUUGUUAGUGGGGAAAAGCUUCGUAAGAUGCCUGAUAAAAGAUAAAGCAAAAGCUUGAAUGAAGAAUGACAUUUUAGAAAGAAACUAAAGUGCAAUCAUCAAAGUAGGAUCAAUAGUGAGUUGAUCAGUUAUGCUUUUUGUUAUUUCAAUUGUCCUGUCCACAAAUGAUGCUUCGUUAUUACUAAUUCCACAUGGACAUUAUUUAGAAACUGUUCUUAUGUUUAACAGAAAAAUGAAAACUCGUCAUCAUACAAAACUGCGUGAACAAAUCUUCAAUUUGAUUAUUAUAAAAUAAAGAAGUUUCAUUACUAGAUUAUGCGGACGUUAAUGUUAGAGAUUUCAUCAGAUUAUCAUAUAAUUUACCAAACGCUUUGAGAAGAACAUGAAUUAAUUAGUUAAAAAUUUAAAAAUAAAAUAAAUAAAGAGUACAUGCAAAUAUUGUUGCUUCCAAUCACCAAAGUGAAAAACAGGGGAAUGAUAACAGACGAGUCCCUGAUUAUCCUCUCUCUCUCUUUUUUCAAUCUCUCUUUAUGUUAUGAUUGAAUAAUUGUAUAGAAAGUGUGACGGUUGCUGCAGCAUUAUGAAGUCAAAAUUGAGAACGACAUUAAAUAAUCAAUCUCUUUAUGUAUAUACUCGAAUGUCUGAUAGUGUUCAGACUUGGAUUUUCUAUAAACACAGAUUCGAAAUCCAAAUAAUUGAAUAAUUGUGUGCGUUCAAAUUCAGCAUUUAAUUUCUAUAUAAUUGGACAUAAAUGCGUAUUUUUUAUUUAGCCCAUUUCGGUCCAUGUUCAAAUAAACAUAUUUCUGUGGAUGAUAAUAUCAGGACCUCUGAUGCUUUUUUUUUUAUCAGAAAUUUUAUUUUUAACUCUUCGUUAUUUAGAUAUAAAUUUUUGCAGUCACCAAAUAGAAAAACAGGGGAAUGAAAACAGAAGAGCCGUGUCCUAAAUCAGGAGUAGGUGUUUUGCCUAAAAGUACCACUUUCCUAGCAAAUCUAGUGGGUUUACUGAAUAAAAUUUUUAAUUAUUCUGUUUGAUCUUUCUCUCUUUAUCCUAAGCAUUCUUGGUUGGGAUCGCUGCAUUGUCCUGUAAUCCGUGUGCCUUAGUGAAAAGAGUAAUGGGUAACUGUAGUUAUGGGUACUUGAGAGCUCACGAUGAGGGUAGCUUGGUAAUGGGACUAUCCAUAUCUGAGCAUCAGAGCUUGACAUCUUUGAUAAAUACAUAUGCUUACUGGUACUGUUUUUGCAUAUGUCUUUCACAAAAUCUUUGUAUAGGCUUACAUAGAGAAGAAGAUUCACCAAUAAAGUGUUGGCUCCACUGGCAAUGAAGUCCCUUAAGUGGCUUGACUGGGUUUGCUCCUCAGUUCUAGUCUGGGUUGUGGUACGGGCUUAAAGGUGCCUCCCACAGUUGGGGCCUUCCCCAGGAUACCUCGUGGUCAAAACAAAAAAAAAAUAGAGAAGAAGAUUCGGAUAACUUUCAAAAUCUGAAUCCGCCUGAUGGACGGACUUGACCACACAGCCCCGUGACAAGGAAGUCCAAGCAACUAACCUAAACCGUUCUCCUUAUUUGAUAUAUGCGCUCACUAUUAAUAGAACUUAUUAGAUACUACAACUUAAAUAACUUCCAGUGGUUGAUUGAGGGUAUGUUUGGGAUUUCCUUUACUUUCCAAGAAUUAAUUUCUACCUUGAUUCUGAACAAAAAAAUAAUUUUACAAAUAAUUUAUUAGGGUGUUUGGUAAAUGAUGAUUAUUUGACAAUCAAUUUUUAAAUGGUUUACUAUACAAAUCUGGUAAAUGAAAAUUAAAAGUGUAAAAUGUUCAUGUACAAUGACAAAAAUGUACUUGUUUACUUUUUUGUAAUUUAUUUAGAAUAUUAUUAUUUAAAUCUUUUUUAUUUACAACAUUUUUAAGAGCAUAUUCUAUUUUCUUUAUUACAUAUUUAAAUAAUUUUUUAUUAACUAUUUUAAUUUGCAAUAAAAUUAACUUGAAUAUUUUUUUAACUAAAAAAAUUGUUAUCUAGUUCGUGAUAUAACAAAUACUAACAUAUCAUCAAAUUGAUUAAUAAAUUAAGUGCAAAAAAGAAAAUGCAAAAAUUUAAUCUUUAUAGCUCAUAGAAAUAUAAUAUUAUAUACAUGUGUGUAAAAAACAACAUAUGACCAUAAUAUUAUCCACUCAUUAAACUUGCUGCACUAUUAUUUCUCAAUCUCUCCAUCUCUCGACCUUCAAGAACAUUACUACCAUAAUCUUCUUCUUGAAUUCAACCUCCAUUUCCUCAUCAUCAACAAUGCGACCAAUUUGCCUUGAUAGCCUUUCAACUCCUCCCACUUUCCUCCCUUUUGCAGACACUCUUUUUCUUUUUCUUUUUCUGUCUUUAAUAGCUUCAAUGGGAACAACCUCAUCUGACGACAAGUCCAUUCUUCAACUAGGACAGAGUUGGUAGUAGAUAUUCUAGUACUCUCAAACGAUGCCCAAACGGGGUCACCAGUGAUUGUUGUAUUAAAAGACAUUCUAUUUAAUUUUCCUCUGACUCUUGGUCGAUACCUUUUGUACAAAAUCUAUUUACUUCAGGAAUUUUAUACAUAUGUCGAUAUCAUAUUAAAGUGAAUUCAGAUCCUAUAUUAUUGACAUUAAAAUUUAGCCGAAUAGUAAAAAAUUUCCCUUUUUGUUUGUCACACAACUAUAUAGUCCCAUUUUUGGUUAUAAGCUCACGAUAUGCAAGGGAAAUGAAGAUCUAUUAAAAACUUCCCCAUAAUAUUAAACAUUAAACAAUAUCAACAUUUUGUGCAUAUGGUGCCUCGUCAACAAUUUGAUGUUCAUUUUGUUGCUCGGAGGAAUAUGACUACCUAUUAAUUAAUUAGCAAGAAUUGCGUUGCGAGUCCAUGUUUUUUGUCGUUUGGAUGGAGGAUGUGCUAUCUUUUUAUUGUAGAUGCUUUGUAAGGCUUUUGAUUUAAUGAUUGAAUGCAGUCAAUUAACAAAAGCUUACAUACAGUAUUAUGUAGUUGCUGAGAUGUCUAUUCUUGAUAAAGUCGAUUUAUUUACACCCAAGCCAACGGAAUCAAAGCCUUUUCGUUAAUAAUAUACACGGUAAUUGUUUUUGUUAAAUUGAUUUCUGGCUAACAAGAUCUUUGAAAGCAUUUAUUAAAGAAACCACUGACUCAUAAGAAAGCCAUGAUUAAAUACACAGCCAAGCAUGUGAGCUCGUUUUUCAAUCUCUUUGAUCACUCAUAAGCUUCUCUAUACCACUCACUGUAUCAUCCUUUUAAGUCAAUUUUGACUGAUCAUCAGAGAUCAUGCACCCCACCUUGAGAUGAUUGAUCACCAAUUUGGCAUUGUAACGUUGAUCACCUCUAAUUGGCCAUGCUAAAAUUGGGACCUCACAGCCAAUUGCUUCUACAGUUGAAUUUUAUCCACAGUGAGAUAAAAAUCCACCUAUUAAUUGAUAACUCAGUAUCAAUAAUUGUGGCACCAUUCCAUCUAUUAUCAAACCCUUUUUACCGACUCUACUAUCUAAACCACUACAAAAAUAAGCUGGUUAAAUGACGUGGAGGAUCCAAUCUAUUUACAUCAGUUUGAAUUACCUAAAUAAUCGGUGGAUUUGAUGCUUCUAAAUCAUUGGCUAAUGUUGAAUAAUCAUUUAAGGUGGGACCCAUUUCGGUACCAAAUGACAUGUAUAACACGGAUCCACAUGAUUUCAAAUCUAACCAUUGAAUGAUCUCAUCUUCGGUCAUGUUAGAACUUCGCCGGUUGGUUCUCAUCUCACAAUCACGAAGCACUGAACCAGCCGAUUUGUAAAAUUGUUCAGGUAACAAUGGGCCCACUCCCCACACUAGCAUCAACACCAUCGAUCCCUCCACUUGCUUCAUCCAGUGUGGUUGAUCACUCGGUUCUGAUGGACCUAUUUUCUCUGAACCGGGUGCACCUCACAAAGGUUGUGGGCCACCAGGAAGGGACCCGUGAGGCCUGCGUUUAAGAUCUGAUUGGAAUAAAGCAACAUCCUUGGGUAACCCAAGAAGUAAAUGGGCCUCUCCCGGUUUGGCAUCCUGGAUGCGAGCCUGCCACAUGGCACACUCCACAGCUGCUGAGCAAGCAUCAGAAGUGAAGAACCCAACAAUGGGAACUUCAAAAUUCUUGAAAACAUCAGCCGUCCAGCCCAUCAUAACGCCGAUGACUACGCAAACAGGUCGGCUUUCGGGUUCCGGGUUGAAAGGAGGUUUCGAAGGCCUUGAAGCAUUUGGCUGUGCAUGACAACAUGGUGGUGAGAAGGAGGUGAUGGUAGUGGUUGAGAUGGGGAGGGUAUUUCGGUAAUUUCAAAUAGAGCGUAUUGGUGAAGAGAGGAAGGGGUGAUGCUGGUGGUAGAAACGUGAGAGGGAAUAAUGAGGGUAGAUUUGUAACAACGAGAAGUGAUUUGCUUGCAUAAUUCAAUGCAUGGAAACAGAUGUCCCUGACCGAAGAAUGGGACAAUCCAAAUCUCAGCCUCAGCAGCAUUCGCAACAGAGCUUGACAUCUUUUAUGAAUUAUUUGAGACUUAAUUGUUAUUGACUGCUUUUGCCAUCUUUCAUAAAACAUUCUUUGUUAUAUAUAAAGAGAUGACUUGAUGGAGAAGCAAGUGUUUUACUUCACCCCCCACCCCCAAAAAAAAAUUUACUAAAUAUCUUUUGUUAUAUAAUGAACAAGAUAAGUUGACGGAGAAGGGUUCUACUUUUACUAGUAAAUGAGCUUUGAGUAGUUAAGAAGGUUAGUUUUAGUUAGUUAAAUAUCUACCAUCCGAAUCAAAGUUCCUUAGACUAUUAUUCAAGUGAGAUGCUUGAGUAACAUAUACUUGUGUUAGUUGGUGCCUAACAAUUCGUGUGAUACAUGAAACCAACCACUAUGAAAUCCAAAUGAAGCUGGUAGGAUUAGAUUAAUUUAAAUGAAAAUAAAAAUUUGUUUAUGCUAUUUAUUAAUCUUAUAAUGUUGAAACUUGAAAGUUAAUUCUUCAACCUGUCAAUUGGUUCAUGACAUGGUUUAAUAUUCAAGUAAAUAAAUUUAUCGUUUAAAAUUAAUUUUUCAUGUGGUAAAAGCAAUACAAAAUAUGGGGUGGAGAGAAUAAUUUGUAGGGUAUACCCCCACCAUUUAUUUAAUUUCAUUAAAAAAAAAGAAAAGAAAUAAAGGCUUGUUCAACAUUCAAUUAAAAUUAACAAUUCCAUGAUAAAAUUACUUGAGAAUAAAAAUUAAAAAAAAAAAAGUAACACAAAAACGAGGAAUUUUUGAGUAACUGAAGAACCAUAGAUGUUUUUUGGUCAUGAGCAAUUUUUGAGUUGAGACAGAACUUGUAUAAAAAAAUAGUUUUGAAUAACUUCUUUUCUUUUUUCAUAAAUAUAGAUAAAAAAUUUUAAAGUCACCAAACACAAAACCAGGAAAAUGGAAAGGAAGCCCCUGUUUCUCCUCUGUUGCAAGAACAAAUUCGGUUUCUACAGGAGUACCUUCUAAAUGCACCAUUUGUAUUGCUUUGUUUCCACGUAAGCUAACGGAAUUUUUAAUGAAAUUAAAUAAAUACAAUCUCACUGACCGAAAAGUUCUGUAGCUGUUUCAAUUCAAUUGCAUACAUUGACGAAACAUUAAAUACGGAAAAAACAAAACGUACAGCAGAAAUACGGAAAAAACAAAAAAGAAAUAAUAGGACAUGGGGAUUUCGAGAACUUCUAAAGAGAGAAAUGUAUUUAUAAGCAUUGAAAAUUAGCUCAUUAAAUUUGACAGAAUAAUAUACAAUCUCACUGUUGGCCAGAAAAUAAUAGUAAGAACUUGUGAACAUAUAUAAUCAAUUGUUUAUUACUUAAGCUCUUUUUCUUCGUUAUUUUGAAUGGGUGCAAAGAAGAGAAGUUUUGUACCCAAAUUCCAACUCGAAUUGUGUAGGCUGCUUGCAAGAGCUUCAUUAGAUUUUUAUUUGUCUUUUAAUAGUGCUACUCGAUAAAUACAGCUAGCUACCUGUCUUUUUUGUUACUGGACUAUAGAUCAAUUGACAGUUGAAGUUAUAUUAAUUUGUUGUACUGGAAUUGAAGCUUGUAUCUUAGCCAUUUCGUGAAGUGUCAAAUAUAUUUUUAAUUUCCUUAAAAUUGUUCAAAAUAUGUUUACACUUUUAAAGUCACUAUUAUACAUGAGUGCCCUAAAAUAAGAGAAGGCGAUUUGCCUGACAUUACCUGUUUCCUGUCAAAUCUAGCAGGUUUACUGAUUAGAUUUUAACAAGUCUCUUGGCAAAGUUUGCUAGAAAUGGAAUCAAAUUAUUCUAUUUAAUCUUACUGUCCAUACCCUAAUAGUUCUUGAUUUGCAUCACUGCAUCGUUCUAUAAUCUGUGUGCGUUGGCUUAUAAAGGCUAGCAAGGCUGACCAUUCGUAGCAUAUUUUUUUUUUUUUUUUUCCACAAUGAAACUCCUAUUGAUUUGACUCAGUAUUUAGAGGCGUUAACGAGGGCACUAUACUAGACAUGGAUUUCUACCGCUUUUGGUUGUACAAUUGUUGUAAUCCUUGGCCAUCAAAUCAUUUUUACGUAGCUUUCUCAGAGUUCAUGCCAAGUGUACAUUAAUGUUUUUAUGUUUUGGAUGCAAGUGGGAUUCUAGUUCUCUAUGGCAGUUGAAGAGGUAAAUGGGCAUGGAGCUAUGCUCUAUCAUAGGCUUCGGCCGCUACAAGAAAUUUGAUUUCUUAAGACGAUAUUUUUUACAACUUUAAAUUUGGUCACAAAAUUGUAUUUAUUGUGACAAAUUUUUAAAAUCGUAGUUAAUAAUCUUGUCGUAACUUAUAUUGUUUUUUGUAACCAAUUGUUUUUAUUUUGAGACUUGUUCAUUGGUCAUUAAUUAAAUUUUUUUAUACCAAAAAUUAUUUUAGUCACCAAAAGAUAUAUUUUUUUGGCGCAAAAUCUUCCCUCCAAAAGUGAUUAUUUUGAGACAAUAUUUCACUAUUUAUGACAAAAUAAAUAGUCACGAAAUAUAAUGAUAGGCGACCAAAUUAUUUGGUAACUAAAAGAGGGGUGUAAAAUUAACUAAACAAUCUAUGACACAAAAUAUUAGUAGCCAAAAUUAUUGUUCUUUUGGCAUAUUUUAAGACCAUUUUUUUGGUCAUAUAUAAUUACCUACAGUGACAAAAUUAAAAAAUAGUCGUUGAAUGUUUUAUCUUGAAUAAUUUUAUAUUUGAUAACCAAUUUUUUUUUCUUUUUGAGACAUAUUACUUGGUCCCUAUUUCAACUUCUUUUUGACGAACUUUAUAAUAGUCACAAAAGACUUUUUUUAUUUUUGGCAUAAAAAGUCUGUCCAAAGUUAGCUCUUUUGGGACAAUAUAUAAUCUUUUAUGACAAAAUAUAUAGUGGCGAAAUAUAAUUAUUUUUUACAAAGUUAUUUCGUAACUGAAAAAGAGGUGUAAAUAUAGUUAACCUAUUUGUGACAUAAAAUAUUAGUCUCCAAAACUAUUAUGUUUUUAGCCAAUUUUAAGACCCUAUUUUGUUGUCAUGGAUAAUUACCUAUUUUCAAAAAACUAAGAGAUAGCAAUCAAAAGUUUGUCUUGAUUGACAUUGUAUUUUAUGAGCAAAAUAUUUUGUUUCAGUGACACUUUACUUGGUCUUUGAUUAGACUUGUUUGUGAUGAUCAAUAGAAUUAUAUAAUAACCACUAAAUUUUUUUGGGUUAAAUUUUUAUAGAUACUAUUAAUUAAGUUGUUGACGAAAAUGAUCGAACUAAUACUAAUAUGGGAUACCAUCAAUAGCCGUAAUACUUAUGAAGCGAGAAAUUAUAAUAUGUAGUGAUUUAUUUAGAAUUAUUUUGACUACUUUAUUGAUUUCCAAAACAUAAAAUUCUCAACCCAAAAUUCCCCGCAUUGUGUUUUAUUUUGUCUCCUCACUCAGUUACUCUUUUAGCUAAAGUUGCUUUGGAAAAGUUGGAAUCUUUUGUUUGGGUGGAAAAUUUCCCACCAGAGAUUAGACAUGUAUUCACCUAGUUGAAGUAAUGAAAGUUUUACUUUCCCAUAAAAAAAAAAACUCACGGCUUGACAAAAAAAAGGAAAAAAAUUCUCACAGCUUGAUGGUCUCCUCUCUUUAAAAAUAAAAAUCCCUAGUUACUCUGCUCAAACUCGUUAAUAUUUGUUUCCACCACCUAAGCAGCCACUAGUAUCUUUUUUUUUCGCAAUUCACUUUUGCUGUGUUUCGUGGUUUGGAUGGAGAUCAUGACAAUAAUUGAACGAUGGUGAUAAAUAUCAAAGAAGGAGCUUACAUGCCCUAUAUAUCUCUCUUUGGAUGAAUAACGAAGGUGAACUUUCAAAGUACAGAGAUUUACAUGUUUUAAUUGUCAUUUACAUUGCUGCAUGCCCAUUGCUUGAUAAAAUACCGCAACAAACACGCAUUCUCGAUUUUCUCAUAAAUUUAUUUUCUUAGUCUGAAAAAAAAAUUGAAUGUUCUUUCCAAUUACCUAAUUUUAUACCAAACAACAUAAAGUUUAUAAGAAAUAUUAAAAACAAGAAAACUCAUUAUUUGUUUUAAGACAGGAAAAAGUGAAUAAAAAACAACAAAAAAAGAAAGAACUCAAAUUGCUUAAUUACCAUAGCUAUGAACAAGUUUUUGCAAAAUUUUCAUCCUCUCACUAACUUUCUCUCUUCUUACCUGAAACCAAAUAAUGACAAGACAAGUGCCCAUUAGACUAUGACAAAAGUUGGAAAUUAAAAUAAUAUAGUAGGUUAUUUUGGAUAAAAUUGGAAAAAGAAAGUUUGAAUUUGUAUUAAUACACUCACCCUUUCAGUUAACCCCUAUUUGAAGGGCCUAAAGAGUAGUUACAGUAGCAAAAAAUUCAAAUAAUGGAAAUCAGAGUGCCCACUACAUAUAAAUGGAUCUAAAGAAUAGAUUAUAUAAUAGCUUGUUUCUUAUGAAUGAUACACGGGAUUCCACAAAUAAAAAGAAAAUAAAAAUCAAGUAUGUGAAUUAAAAAAAUACCUAACCAAUAGGGGUUAGUGAGAUAUUUUAGCUAAAUAUCAGUUGACAGAAUCUGACCCACAAUAAAAAUUGCUAUCUUAUCACAAUGGAAAUCUGAAUUAUAAAAUUACUGAACAAAACUUUUAACACCUACAAGUCCAAAUAACAUCAAAUAAAAUGCCUAACCAGCUAUUAAAUAUAAAAGGGAUAUUAUCAUUCGUAUACCCUAUAGAUGCUCUGUUAUAAAAAAUACUACAACACUUUGAGGGUGUAUCAAUCGUCCACAUUAAGUUGACAAAAUGUAUCUGUUGUCCACCAAACCGUUACUUGCCGUUUAAAUAGGAUAACGACAGAGGGGUAAUUUGGUCUUUUCAUAUGAUACAAGUGAUAAUUUAAGGGUAUACAAGUGAUACUUUUCAAGGGUAAAAUUGUCAAUUCGCUAUAAUUCCGUUAACUUUCAAACGGUAGCUAACGGUUUGAUGGUUGGCAGAUAGCUUUUGUCAAUUUGGGGUGGACGAUUGAUACACCCUCAAAGUGUUGUAGUAUUUUUUAUAACAGAGCAUCUAUAGGGUAUACGAAUGAUAAUAUCCCUUUUAUAUUUAAUAGCUGGUUAGGCAUUUUAUUUGAUGUUAUUUGGACUUGUAGGUGUUAAAAGUUUUGUUCAGUAAUUUUAUAAUUCAGAUUUCCAUUGUGAUAAGAUAGCAAUUUUUAUUGUGGGUCAGAUUCUGUCAACUGAUAUUUAGCUAAAAUAUCUCACUAACCCCUAUUGGUUAGGUAUUUUUUUAAUUCACAUACUUGAUUUUUAUUUUCUUUUUAUUUGUGGAAUCCCGUGUAUCAUUCAUAAGAAACAAGCUAUUAUAUAAUCUAUUCUUUAGAUCCAUUUAUAUGUAGUGGGCACUCUGAUUUCCAUUAUUUGAAUUUUUUGCUACUGUAACUACUCUUUAGGCCCUUCAAAUAGGGGUUAACUGAAAGGGUGAGUGUAUUAAUACAAAUUCAAACUUUCUUUUUCCAAUUUUAUCCAAAAUAACCUACUAUAUUAUUUUAAUUUCCAACUUUUGUCAUAGUCUAAUGGGCACUUGUCUUGUCAUUAUUUGGUUUCAGGUAAGAAGAGAGAAAGUUAGUGAGAGGAUGAAAAUUUUGCAAAAACUUGUUCAUAGCUAUGGUAAUUAAGCAAUUUGAGUUCUUUCUUUUUUUGUUGUUUUUUAUUCACUUUUUCCUGUCUUAAAACAAAUAAUGAGUUUUCUUGUUUUUAAUAUUUCUUAUAAACUUUAUGUUGUUUGGUAUAAAAUUAGGUAAUUGGAAAGGUCUCAUGUUGGAUGAAAUUAUCAAUUAUGUGCAGUCCCUACAGAAUCAAGUGGAGGUAACAUUGCUACUAAAAAACCUUAUUAACAUAGUUAUAAUGAAUUAAUCUUCUUUAAUAUAUUGCAAUAUUUUUUACUAUUUCUAGGUCUUUCUAUGUUGGUUUUGGAUCAUUGUAGUUGCUGAUUGUGAUUUAUUGCCGCCUAUGGUUGCUGACUUUUGUUUACUGCAGCUACUUUAUUAAAGCAAUUUUGGAUAUUGAAGUUUAUGGCCAACUUUUAUUAGAUACUUCUGACCUUUAUCGAUAUAUUUUCUGAACCUUUACACUUAAGAUGUGUGUGUGUUUUUUUUAAGUAAUUUAAUCCUUACUAACAUUUUCUAACAAAAUCAAUUACAGAAAUGAUUAGGAAAAAACAAGCAAAAUCAUUGUAAAGUGUCUUCUGCGCACCGUGGUUGCUCAAGUCUCAUGUGCAACAUGUGAAUGAAAUAGUACUUGAAAUAAUAGAGACUUUGUUUUAUGACUCUUAUAUUUACAUUUCUUUGCAAGGAACCAUACUUAAUUGUACCUAAUAGAAGAGAUAUCUUUUCACUAUAUAGUCUUAGUAUAAAAAGAUACCUCUUCUAUAAGGCACAAUUAACGGGACAUGUCUUUAUACUAAGACAUCAUUCAUAUUUAUCACACAAUAAUAGAAACUGCAACGGUAGCUGGAAUAUUAUGAAGUCAAAAUUGAGAACGACAUUAAAUCAUGAAUUCUUUAUGUGUUUACUCUAAUGCCUGACGGUAUUUAGUUCAAUUAACACAGAUUCGAAAUCCAAAUGAUUGAAGAGUUGUAUGGGUUCAAGUUCAGUAUUUAAUUACUAUAUAAUUAUACAUAAAUGUGGAUUUUGCAAUCUUGAACCCAUUUAAUUACUAAAAAAGGAUGACGAAUAGAAUUGGUGGAAAUUGACCACAAAGCAAUUUGAGUUCUUUCUUUUUUUGUUGUUUUUUAUUCACUUUUUCCUGUCUUAAAACAAAUAAUGAGUUUUCUUGUUUUUAAUAUUUCUUAUAAACUUUAUGUUGUUUGGUAUAAAAUUAGGUAAUUGGAAAGGUCUCAUGUUGGAUGAAAUUAUCAAUUAUGUGCAGUCCCUACAGAAUCAAGUGGAGGUAACAUUGCUACUAAAAAACCUUAUUAACAUAGUUAUAAUGAAUUAAUCUUCUUUAAUAUAUUGCAAUAUUUUUUACUAUUUCUAGGUCUUUCUAUGUUGGUUUUGGAUCAUUGUAGUUGCUGAUUGUGAUUUAUUGCCGCCUAUGGUUGCUGACUUUUGUUUACUGCAGCUACUUUAUUAAAGCAAUUUUGGAUAUUGAAGUUUAUGGCCAACUUUUAUUAGAUACUUCUGACCUUUAUCGAUAUAUUUUCUGAACCUUUACACUUAAGAUGUGUGUGUGUUUUUUUUAAGUAAUUUAAUCCUUACUAACAUUUUCUAACAAAAUCAAUUACAGAAAUGAUUAGGAAAAAACAAGCAAAAUCAUUGUAAAGUGUCUUCUGCGCACCGUGGUUGCUCAAGUCUCAUGUGCAACAUGUGAAUGAAAUAGUACUUGAAAUAAUAGAGACUUUGUUUUAUGACUCUUAUAUUUACAUUUCUUUGCAAGGAACCAUACUUAAUUGUACCUAAUAGAAGAGAUAUCUUUUCACUAUAUAGUCUUAGUAUAAAAAGAUACCUCUUCUAUAAGGCACAAUUAACGGGACAUGUCUUUAUACUAAGACAUCAUUCAUAUUUAUCACACAAUAAUAGAAACUGCAACGGUAGCUGGAAUAUUAUGAAGUCAAAAUUGAGAACGACAUUAAAUCAUGAAUUCUUUAUGUGUUUACUCUAAUGCCUGACGGUAUUUAGUUCAAUUAACACAGAUUCGAAAUCCAAAUGAUUGAAGAGUUGUAUGGGUUCAAGUUCAGUAUUUAAUUACUAUAUAAUUAUACAUAAAUGUGGAUUUUGCAAUCUUGAACCCAUUUAAUUACUAAAAAAGGAUGACGAAUAGAAUUGGUGGAAAUUGACCACAAUCAUCUCUCUCUCUCGGCUUGCUCAAAUUUGGCCGAUCUGUGCGCUUGCUUAAGCUUGGCCGAUCUAUGCUUGCUCGAUUACUCUUCCUAUAUUCAGUCAGAGUCAACUGUUUGACAAGAGUCGAAGUCCAAGGUUCUUUUUUACAGGAUUUGAGCUACUUCUUUUAUUCUUCUUGCAUGUUCACUGAUAGCGGGUGGAAUUUGAGAUGUUCACUGAAGCUUUGAUGUGGUGUUCUGAUAGCGGGUGGAAUUUGAGAUUCUCCUUUCUUCUCUAUAUGAAGGUGCUUGUCAUGUGUCAAGAAAAAUAAAAUUAUUUACAAAAGAUUAUUUUAAGGAGAUUUAUUAUUAUUCGUGGAUCAGGAAGCUCAAAAAGUUUUCUUAUGUAGAACAUAAAAUGAUUUAAAUUUUGCCAUGGUAUAUCCUUUUCUUUGAUUGUGUUGUGGUUUUCCAGUUCUUGGAGAUGCAGAAGAAGUUUAUUUUGUUUUAUGGUAUCUUAUUUAUUUAUUGUUUUCACGAGGAAAUAGCUGUGCUUUUGGAAAUUAAUAUGCUGUGUUGUAAAUGUUGUGUGAAAUCCUUUUAUUGGUGUCUAUGUAAAGUGUUUCAGAUUUCAGACCUGAGAGUUAAUCUUCGCGUACCAGUUGGCUUUUGGGUUUAGUAUUGCUGCUUUUAACAUAUUUGACCUAUGGCCCAAAUCAUUUCUAUAGGGCGAAGCAUAUGAAUGAUACAUAUUAUCUUUUUUUGGCCUUAUGUAUUGUUAUUUGCAGUGUGAUUUGGUCUAGCUUAAGAGCUUAAGCUUGCAAGUUGGAUUUGUCUAACAGGGAACAAUUUAAUUUGUUCAUCAUGAUGUUUAUAUCCAUUUUGUACUACUAUCAAUUUCAAUCAUGCCUAAUUUUUAUAUGUAUUUCUCGUGGACUCUCAGGUUCAGUGCACAAGAGGAUGAAGACGAUGGACACCCAAAUUUGAUGUGGAGAACAACUAUUGCAAAUGGUCCUUGAUUUACUUCUCCAAUUGACUUGAAUUGGUUUGACGCAAUUUAUAGUGUAUUUUUGUCAUCUUUGUAUGACUGGCAGGUCGUCCUGAUUUGGUACAUGACUGGACACAGGAAUUGGACUCAUAUUUUUCAAACCAGAAUGCCAACAAUCAAGCAUUUUCUUUUGAAAGCACUGGCGUCUUCUUCAAUGCCAAAAAGGUUAGAGAUUUUCUGUAUCCUGUUUUGUAUUUGAUCAGUUUAGCAUGUGGGUGGCAAUCAAGAAAAGUUAUUAUAACAUUUUUGUGUUCCCGAAAAACUGCUGAUGAUGUGUAGUGCAGGAAAUGAAUUGUUUGUGACUUCUUUUUAUUCGUAUUCUUUCUUUUUUCUUUUCUCCCCAACAGGAUUAUGUAUUUCUGAAGAGCUUCUUGAAGUUGAUUACCUUGUAAGCCACUUUCUGUACUCUAUGCUCAGGAUGUGAUUUUGCCAAGCAUUAAAAUGGUUUAGGUCAGAACCAUCAUCUAAAGUUUACUUAAUGCAGCCGAGAAGCUGUAGUAGAGCAAUGAAGGCUGUUGGUGUUAUGAAGGCCAGCUGUGAAGAAAUAUUUGAACUUGUAAUGAGCAUGGAUGGGACACGAUACGAGUAUGCUUCUUUUCUAUUUUUUAUUUUUAGUUACUUUAACAUAAUCAAGACUAUAUUGGCUGUCUCUGUAAGCUGAGUAUUAUAUUUCCUCUUGUAUGCUGUGAAAUUCACAUUGUCUCCAGUCCCGAUUCUGUAUGUGCCUUUUUGAAUAUAUUUAAUUAAUCUGCAUGGUGCUUUCUAAAGAUUAUUACAAACUUUUGUUGCUUAAGUAUAUGAAGAAUGUGGAAAUGAAAAUAGCUUUUGAAGUUUGAUGGAUUGCUUCAUUAAUAAAGAAAGACUAGGACUCAUUUUUAUAACUUUUCUCCACUUAGCUAAUGGUAUUUGAUGAAGACAAAAUAGAUGUAGCUAUCUGUAUUUUUUGUUGCUGAACUAUAGAUCAAUUGACGGUUGAAGUUAGUUAUAUUAAUUUGUUGUACUAGAAUUAAAGCUUGUAUCUUAGCCAUUUCAUGAAGUGUCAAAGACGUUCAUGUUUUUUAAAAGUUUUUUGGGAAGGGGAUCUAGAGAAUUAUUUCUGCUGUACCGUACAUCCGCCUUGGCCGUACAGCAGCUAUCAAUUUGACUCAGUAUUUAGAGGUCUUGAAGAGGGCAGUGUACUAGACGUGGAUUUCUUCCUCUUUUGGUUGUACAAUUGUUGUAUUUCUUGGCCAUCAGAUCUUUUUUAUGUAUCUUUCUCAAAGUUCAUGCCGCACGUACACCGUUUUUCAUGUUUUGUGCAGGUGGGAUUGUAGUCUUUUGUAUCGCAGCUUAGUUGAAGAGGUAGAUGGUCAUACGGCUAUUCUCUAUCAUAGGCUUCAGCUGGACUGGUUUCCAAUGUAAUAGUCUCUUGAUUCAAUCAUCUCAUUUAUGCUUUGGUCAGAAUAGAACAUUUAUUGUUUUCUUCUUUCCCCUUUCAUGUCUUCUGAUAUAAUAUGUGAGGAAAUUACCUAAAAUUUCUGUAUCCCAAUGUAAUUGUUGGAAUUCAGAAAUAAAAUAAAUACACCGUCUUGUUUUUCCCUCGGUUCAGUCCUAAGUUCUCUUUGGGCCUUCUGCAAGUUUUUAAACAUACUGUGACAGUAAAAAAUCUAGUGAUUGAGAUCAUUUUGAUGAAUUUAAUUUUAAUUCUUAGCUGAUACUUUUUCUGGAAUUUUUUUCUUAUGUUUCCUCAAUAUGACUUAAAUAUAGGGCUUAGUUUGGUUUAGAAGUUCGUCUAAAACCUUCUCCUUGAUUCCAAAAAAAUUCUCUAGAAAGGUCUCAGAUGGAUUUUAGGGGAGUUCUGUGGCAAAUUUGAAAAGUUCAGGGGAAGGGUCUAAUGAAUUUUAAAACCACAUGGGUUAUCUGUUUUAUUCAGAGGAUAGUGGAAUUCCCUGAAAUUUAUCAUUUUUAUUUAAAUAAUCUUCCUACUUUCCUCUGCGGAAUUUAUUUACAUUUAUGAAUUCAUUUGGUUGCAGGUUUGUUUGGCCCCGCGGCCUUUGUUAAGUACGUUAUUGGCGUUGAAAUGACGCUGCGAGUUAUGGUAAGGUUCUUGCUUCCCCACUUCUUGAAAUUAAAUCUAUCUUUUCUGGCACUAGAAGUUUCCAUAAGCUGUGUUUUGUUAUCGCGCAGUUGUGUUAUUUCAUUCUAGGGAGCAUGAGAACUGUGGUCCACAGCCAGGAUAUGUACGAGCUCACGUGGAGAGUUAGUUUUCUGUCCUUUACUUUGGUUGAUGUAGAGAAUUAACAAGUGACUAAGUCAUGCCAAGUUGCACCACUUGCUUCCUGUAUUCUGAUUUCUCAGGUGGUGGAUUCAACAUUUCCCCACUCAAACCUCAAAAUGGUAGGCCCAGAACACAAGUACAGCAUCUUAUGCAGAUUGAUCUAAAAGGGUGGGGUGUUGGUUAUGUGUCAAUGUUUAGCAACACUGUCUUCUUCAGAUGUUAAAUAGCAUUGCUGGUAAGUUUCUUGCUUUCACAUUUUAUUUUGCGCUGUUAUGGGUUAAUAUGUUUCUGUUGGGUGGCCAUUUUAAGUCAUAUUUUUACGUGUUACUGUAUUUUCUUCAGUCCUUUUAUAGGGAACACACACAUACACGUAUGUAGAGUCACCUUUUAAUGAGGGAUCUACCAUUUUAAUAAAAUGAGGAAUGAGCUAAAAGAUAAAAAUUCACGAACUCCAAUGCAAUAUGUGUGUGUGCGUGUGCACACCUUUUCUAACUCUUGUUCUUAGUUAGAUAUUUUUCGGGAUUUCAGGCAAAUGAAAAAAGAGAUUAAGAGAAAGAGAAUAGGUGGAUGAUAACUUAAAUAUUCAUUUUUAUAUAUUUUGUUAAUGUCCUCUUUAAUGGAUUUCUAUGGAAUUAAUCUUUUUUUUUCAAUUAGUUGCAGCCCUAGAGGAAAAGUAGGGUGAUCAAAUUGAUUUAUCUCAUUUUUUUUUAGCAAUUUGCGACAUAAUGACCGUGAUAAUGCUUGUGACUGCUGGAAACUUUCUGAUGGAAAUAACUUCAGAGUUCGUAGCAAGCAUUUUUGUUAUGACAAAACAAAGGUUCCCGCGAAUUUUGGUUGUUGUUAGGCCACAAGUGCGUUUCACAUAUGCAAGGCGCAAGGGUAAUUCCGGAAAUACCAAUCGUGGCUGACGUGUCAUCAAGUAGUAUAGAGAGAAGAGUUUGUUAUGCAUUUCUGUUAGUGAUAAGUUGAUGGUAUUCUGUUUUGAUAAUUUGUUAGAGUUUUCUAUUAUUCUAUUUGGGCGUAAAAGUGAGGAGGUUAUAUGGAGAGGAGCUGUUUUUUGGGAAGGGGAUCUAGAGAAUUAUUUUGUAGUGAGCUUGCUCAUUUUGGGAGAGAUACCAAGCCUCUCGAAUGCUUGGGUGUUUUGGUUUAUUUCUGCAGAUAAAUACCAGUUUUCCUACUUCCAACAACAUUCUGUUCUCUACUGUGUUGUUUAUCUAACCAUUUCAGUUCAGGGCUUAUCAAAUUGGUAUCAGAGUAGUCACGUACCUAGAAAAUGACUGGCAAAAAUGUUGCUCAACGAAUGGAUUCCAUAGAGGAGGCGAUGGGUGCUGCGUAGGAGGAGUUUCAACGGGAAAUGAGAUCGUUGAAGGAUGAAAUAUAGAUGAUGAACAAACGAUUCGAACAGUUCAUCAAACUUCAAGAGGAUACGGGAGGUUCGUAUUCGAAUAAAAGGGAAAAGAUGCUCAGCCCCAACUUCGGCGGGUUGAGCUCAAGCGGAACUAGCCAUGAUUUCCGAUUCCGGAAACUUGAGAUGCCACUGUUCGAUGGCUCAAAUCUGGAUGGCUGGAUCUGAAGGCUGAACGAUAUUUUUCCGUAAAUCGGUUAUCCAAUGAAGAAAAACUUGAGGCAGCGAUAAUAGCUUUCGAGGGAGAUGCCCUGUUGUGGUAUCAAUGGGAGAAUAGGAAGAGAUCCAUGAUGGUUUGGGAAGAGAUGAGGCUACUAAUCUUGAAACAAUUCCGAGUAAUCCAAGCCGAUUCUCUCCAUGAACAAUGGCUAGCCCUUACUCAAGAUUGAUGCUCUCUACUUUAUUUUCUUCAACCCAGGAGGACAAAGAUAAUACAAAUCUUUAACAAACUAUUGCAGUUCAUCAAAACAAAGUUCAGAAGUGUAAUUUAGUCAACAAAAGACGCAUCUACUAAGUUCAUUUAUGCAGUUAAAGCAAAAAAAAAAAGUUUAUCCAUCCCAAUACUUCAGAAAUUUCAUUUCCUCCCAAGUGCUACAGAGUUAAUUUUUCAACUAAUUAAAACUAAUAUGACUUUAAAAACUUCACUUACAUAAAAACUAAUUCUCAAUUACAAAUAGUCUGAGUUUGAUUAAACUCAAAAAACAUCACAAGACAUAAAAAGCCUGUCAAGAUCACAAGUAAACAAGAUUUUGCUAAAAUAUGCCAAAACGUCCAUAUUAUCUUCAUUUAUAUGACGAUUGAAGAAAAUAGCAGCUCGAUCUAAUAUACCAGCUAACUCUACAAUUAAAAAGAAUGCUUUGAGAAUCCAACUACCUGAAGUUUGGUAACCAAACCUUUCUUCUGCUCUUCAAGCUCUCUAAUCUAGUGUUAGGCCACAAGUGCGUUUCACAUAUGCAAGGCGCAAGGGUAAUUCCGGAAAUACCAAUCGUGGCUGACGUGUCAUCAAGUAGUAUAGAGAGAAGAGUUUGUUAUGCAUUUCUGUUAGUGAUAAGUUGAUGGUAUUCUGUUUUGAUAAUUUGUUAGAGUUUUCUAUUAUUCUAUUUGGGCGUAAAAGUGAGGAGGUUAUAUGGAGAGGAGCUGUUUUUUGGGAAGGGGAUCUAGAGAAUUAUUUUGUAGUGAGCUUGCUCAUUUUGGGAGAGAUACCAAGCCUCUCGAAUGCUUGGGUGUUUUGGUUUAUUUCUGCAGAUAAAUACCAGUUUUCCUACUUCCAACAACAUUCUGUUCUCUACUGUGUUGUUUAUCUAACCAUUUCAGUUCAGGGCUUAUCAAAUUGGUAUCAGAGUAGUCACGUACCUAGAAAAUGACUGGCAAAAAUGUUGCUCAACGAAUGGAUUCCAUAGAGGAGGCGAUGGGUGCUGCGUAGGAGGAGUUUCAACGGGAAAUGAGAUCGUUGAAGGAUGAAAUAUAGAUGAUGAACAAACGAUUCGAACAGUUCAUCAAACUUCAAGAGGAUACGGGAGGUUCGUAUUCGAAUAAAAGGGAAAAGAUGCUCAGCCCCAACUUCGGCGGGUUGAGCUCAAGCGGAACUAGCCAUGAUUUCCGAUUCCGGAAACUUGAGAUGCCACUGUUCGAUGGCUCAAAUCUGGAUGGCUGGAUCUGAAGGCUGAACGAUAUUUUUCCGUAAAUCGGUUAUCCAAUGAAGAAAAACUUGAGGCAGCGAUAAUAGCUUUCGAGGGAGAUGCCCUGUUGUGGUAUCAAUGGGAGAAUAGGAAGAGAUCCAUGAUGGUUUGGGAAGAGAUGAGGCUACUAAUCUUGAAACAAUUCCGAGUAAUCCAAGCCGAUUCUCUCCAUGAACAAUGGCUAGCCCUUACUCAAGAUAGCAGUGUGCGAGAAUACCGCCGGAAAUUCAUCGAACUUUCGGCGCCGUUGGAGAACAUUACAGACGAACUAGCUCUGGGAAAUUUUAUCAAUGGGUUGAAGCCUGAAAUUCGGGUCGAGGUUCGGAUCAUGGAACCCAGUAAUUUGGGCCGGGCCAUGGACUUAGCCCAAAAGAUUGAGGAGAAACUGUGGGUGACCAAGGCCCACAAAGCAGACGGUGGGUUUCAUCGAGCAGGAGGGUCAACGCGAGGUGUGAACUUCCAUUCUGAAGCUUCGCAAUCUUCGUUUGGGGCAAAUCAUAACACGGCCCGAUUUUCGGGAGAGGUUAGGAGGUUGUCCGAUUCAGAAUUACAGAAGAAAGAGAGAAGGGACUAUGUUAUCGAUGUGAUGAAAAGUGGGCACCUGGGCAUCGCUGCAAGAAGAAAGAAUUGACUGUCCUUCUCACCUACGACAUGGACGAAGCAGAACAGGAAGAAGGUUCGGGUGAAGCAAUCCCGAAUUGGAAACGGCCGAAAUUAAUCAAGUGGUAGAGGUCUCUCUUAACUCGGUGGUUGGUCUGACUACACCAAAGACGAUGAAGCUUAAGGCGUGUGAAGGCGAUCCCGAACUGGAAACGGCCGAAAUUAAUCAAGGGAACCUACGACAUGGACGAAGCAGAACAGGAAGAAGGUUCGGGUGAAGCAAUCCCGAAUUGGAAACGGCCGAAAUUAAUCAAGUGGUAGAGGUCUCUCUUAACUCGGUGGUUGGUCUGACUACACCAAAGAUGAUGAAACUUAAAGGGACUAUCGGGGAGCAAGAGGUGGUGGUACUGAUUGAUUCAGGUGCAACCCACAAUUUUAUUUCUCUAGAUUUGGUUAGUAAGAUGCAGAUACCCAUUGUUAAUACUGGGGCUUAUGGGGUGACUAUGGGUAUUGGAGCGACUGUAAAGGGAGAACGUUUAUGUCGGGGAGUGACUAUUCAUCUAUAGGGAAUAGAUAUUGUAGAGGAAUUCUUGCCGCUUGGGUUGGGAAGCUCGGAUGUUAUAUUAGGAUUUCAGUGGCUUGAAACUUUGGGGAUGACACACACAAAUUGGAAGACACAGGUGAUGAAGUUCAUGGUCGGAAAUGAAUCUGUUACUCUACGAGGGGAUCUUUCCCUUGGCAAGACUUUGGUUUCAUUGAAGGCAAUGAUGCGCACCAUUAAACAUUAGGGAGCUGGAAUUCUGGUGGAAUGUAAUCAAUUUGAAGGUCUGUACGAAGUGAGCCCUGAGGUGCCAACGAAUCUAAACCAAGUCCUAGUAGAAUACGAAUUGGUUUGCUCAAAGACGGCAGUCAAGCAGUCAACCUGUUAGUGUCCGACCAUACCGCUAUCCUCAUGCCCAGAAGGAUGAGAUUGAAAGACUGAUUCAGGAGAUGUUAGAUGCGGGAAUAAUCCAAGUCAGCAAUAGUCCAUUCUCGAGCCCAGUUUUGUUGGUUAAAAAGAAAGACAGAUCAUGGCGUUUUUGUGUGGAUUACAGGGCUCUCAACAAAACGACGGUACCAGAUAAGUAUCUCAUCCCUGUCAUUGAUGAACUCCUAGAUGAGUUACAUGGUGCCAGAAUUUUUUUCCAAGCUAGAUUUAAAUUUGGGCUACCAUCAAAUCAGAGUCAGUAGUCAGGAUGUUCAUAAGACUGCUUUUCGAACGCAUGAUGGACACUACAAGUUUCUCGUCAUGCCUUUUGGACUAACGAAUGCCCCGUCGACUUUCCAAUCCUUGAUGAAUGAUGUCUUCUGGCCUUAUCUUCGGAAGUUUGUUCUAGUGUUCUUUGAUGACAUUCUAAUUUACAGCCCUUCAGUGGAAUCCCAUCAGCAGCACUUGGCUCUCGUCUUGGGAAUAUUGCAGGCCAACAGCCUUUAUGCCAACCGAAAAAAAUGCGAGUUUGGAAGAACUCAAGUGGCAUAUUUAGGCCAUAUCAUCUCUGGACAAGGGGUGGCAGCGGAUCCAAGUAAAAUCCAAGCCAUUAACUUGUGGCCAACGCCCACUAAUCUGAAAGCGUUAAGGGGAUUUCUGGGAUUGACGGGGUAUUAUAGAAAGUUUGUGGCUGGGUAUGCUAGAAUCGCAUCGCCAUUGACUGAUCAGCUCAAGAAAGAUAGGUUUGGGUGGAGUCCAGAAGCUGCAGCGGCAUUUGAAGAACUCAAACAAGCUAUGUCUUCAGUCCCUGUGUUGGCAAUGCCUGAUUUCACAAAGCCAUUUAUUGUUGAGAAUGAUGCAUCUGGUUUUGGGUUAGGAGUUGUUCUACUACAGGGGCAACAACCAGUAGCUUACUACAGCCAAGUUUUGGGGCCCCGGGCUCGUCUUAAGUCCAUAUAUGAGAAAGAACUAAUGGCCAUAGUGUUUGCAAUCCUGAAAUGGCGGUCGUACUUGCUGGGAAGGCGAUUUAUUGUGCGAACAGACCAACAGAGCUUAAAAUUUCUUUUGAAGCAGAGGAUUGUUGGAGUUGAAUAUCAAAAAUGGAUCACCAAAAUCAUGGGAUAUGAUUUUGAUAUUCAAUAUCGUAUUGGGGCUGUUAACAUAUAUGUUUCCAUAAUAUUGAUUUUGAUGAUAACAAAAAAGAUUAAAAAUGAUUAAUCUUUUAAGCUCAAAUUAUUUUUUAUACAUUUUAAAUAAAUCAUUAUUUUUAUAUUAUAAAGGUUUUAUAUUUAAUGGAAAAAUGAUUUUAUGAAAUUGGUUGUUUUUCAAGUUUAUGAUUUAAUUGAAAGAGUUUUUGAAAACUUUGAAAUCAACAAGUAUUGCUUGAAAUUUUAGAGAAUGACUUAUUUUAAAAGUGUCAUAGCAUUUUGGGCUAUAUCAUAAUUUCAGAAAGUUUUGGGAUUAACAAAGCAUUACUUAGAAAUUCUGAAAUUGGACCUAUUUGUAAACUUUCAUAACAUUUUGGGCCAUACUGUAGUUUUAUAAAGUUUUGGGGUCAAACUAUAAUUUUAAAAAAUAGUGCACUGUGCAGGUUACUGUACCAAUCACUGUAGCAAAUGGCUAACCGUUUAUUUAAAAACGGCUAACCGAUAAUUUCCAGAAAGCAUGUUCUGCAAAGUAUUGUUAAAAUGAUGAUUCUGGAAACUAACGGUGAACCGUUUACUGAAAACGGUUAACCGAUUAUUUCCAGAUUGUUAACCUUGAACCGUUUAGUAAGAACGGUUAAACCAAAUUUGUUUUGCAGGUCUCUGGAAAUUAACGGCGAAAGGGUAAGCCUAAACGGCUAAUCGUUUAUUUAAAAAUUGGCCCAACGGUAACUUUGACCGGCCUAAACGGUUAACCGUUAAUGGUUAACGGCGAACCGUUUUCGAGCAAACAGUCUAUAACGGCUAGUUUUUCAGCUCCAACUAUAAAUAAGCUCAAUCCAAUUCAAACAAGAAGAAUUCCAACGAUCAUCAUUGAGCAAAAUAUUGAGAAUAUAACUUUCAUUGAGCUUUAAAUCCUUGUAUUCAUCUCAUUCAUUCACACAUUGAGCUUUCACUUGUGAUUAAACACAUUGUGUGAGAGAGAUUUAUUUGUAAUCCUUUUUGUAAAAUCAAGUUAAAAGAUUGUAAGUGUUGGGAUACACUUGGGUUAAGAGAUUGGGGAUAAUCUCUUGUUGUAAAGGUCCAUUGACACCUUGGAAGUCAAUUGUAAGCGUUUGAAGCCUUGGGAGGCUAGCUUAGUGAAAUCCUCAAGCCCGGUGAGCUUGGAGGCGUGGACGUAGGCGGGGAUAGCCGAACCACGUAAAAAUCCUUGUGUUCGUUUUCUCUUCCCUUACUCUUUUAAUAUUGUGCAUGAUUAAAUUUAUUGUUUUCAAUUUGAUUAAGGCAAUAGAUUAAAUUGUUGUGUGAUUUGCUUAGCUUAAUUUUUAAAAUCUCCAAUAUGAAUUGUUCCAAAUGGAACAAAAUGAGAGUGUGUAUUCUAUGAAUACUAGAUUUACGGACAUAGUGAACACUCUAGGAGCCCUAGGAAAGACCUUUUCAAAUAGCGAGAAAGUUAAGAAAAUCAUUAGGUCGUUACCUAAGAAAUGGAGACCAAAAAGGACUGUCAUUGAGGAAGCUCAAGAUUUGAAUAUCUUACCUAUUGAUGAUUUAAUUGGUUCUCUUAUUUCUUAUGAGGAAGACAUGGCAGCCGAAAGAGGCAAUGAGGAGAAGAAGAAAAGCAUUGCUCUCAAAGCCUCGAAACAUGAGAGUGAUGAGGAAAGCGAGCUGGAUGAGGAGGAGAUGGAUAUGCUGGCUAGGAGGUUCAGAAAACUUUUUAAGAAAUCCGAUGAGCGAAGAAAAUUUAGAGACCUCAAGAACCGAAAGGAGAAGAAGGAAGUAAUCAAAUGUUAUGAGUGCAAGAAGCCUAGCCAUAUAAGAACGGAAUGCCCUCUUCUCAACAAGCUGAAGAAGAAAGCAAUGAUAGCCACAUGGGAUGAUAGCGAUGAGGAAACAAGUGAUGAUGAAGAGCAUCAAGAAAUGACAAAUCUAGCUCUCAUGGCAAUUGGAGAUGAAUCGAAUGAUGAACUUGAUGAGGUAAAUGAUCUUUUUACUUAUGAUGAAUUAUAUGAUGCUUUUAAAGAAUUACAUGAUAAUUGGAUAAAAAUUGGUAAAAAGAAUGCAUGUCUUAAAAAGAAAAUGGUAGAGCUCAAAAAUGAAAAUGAAUCUCUAUGUGCAAAGAUUACAUGCCUAGAAUUAGAGAAUAAAACAUUGCAUGAUAGAGUUGCAUUAUCAAAUGAGAAACCUAGCACUUCACAUGAGCAUCUAGAAUAUCACAUAGAUGACUUGAAAAAUGAAAAGGAUGCUUUACAAAAAUGCAAUGAUUCAUUAAAUGAAAAGAUUAAAGGACUAGAGUUAGAUAAUAAAAUGUUGCAUGAUAGAAUUGCAUCAUUUAAAGGUAAACAAAGUAUUUCAUAUGAGCAUGAAAAAUCACAUGUUGAUGAGUUGAUGAAAGAAAAUGAAGUGCUUAAGAGAAAGAGUAAUGAGCUCAAUGAAAUUGUUUUGAAAUUCACAAAUGGGCAAAAGAUGUUGGAUAACAUGCUUAAUUCACAAAAAUGUGUGUUUGAUAAAGGAGGAAUUGGUUAUAAGCCAAAUUUGAAACAAAAGUAUUAUAAGAACUAUCUCUUAUUUCUUAUGAGGAAGACUUGGCAACCGAAAAAGGCAAUGAGGAGAAGAAGAAAAGCAUUGUUCUCAAAGCCUCGAAAUAUGAGAGUGAUGAGGAAAGCGAGCUGGAUGAGGAGGAGAUGGAUAUGCUGGCUAGGAGGUUCAGAAAACUUUUUAAGAAAUCCGGUGAGCGAAGAAAAUUUAGAGACCUCAAGAACCGAAAGGAGAAGAAGGAAUUAAUCAAAUGUUAUGAGUGCAAGAAGCUUGGCCAUAUAAGAACGGAAUGUCCUCUUCUCAACAAGCUCAAGAAGAAAGCAAUGGUAGCCACAUGGGAUGAUAGCGAUGAGGAAACAAGUGAUGGUGAAGAGCAUCAAGAAAUGACAAAUCUAGCUCUUAUGGCAAUUGGAGAUGAAUCGGAUGAUGAACUUGAUGAGGUAAAUGAUCUUCUUACUUAUGAUGAAUUACAUGAUGCGUUUAAAGAAUUGUAUGAUGAGUGGAUGAAAAUUGGUAAAAAGAAUGCAUGUCUUAAAAAGAAAAUGGUAGAGCUCAAAAAUGAAAAUGAAUCUCUAUGUGCAAAGAUUACAUGCCUAGAAUUAGAGAAUAAAACAUUGCAUGAUAGAGUUGCAUUAUCAAAUGAGAAACCUAGCACUUCACAUGAGCAUCUAGAAUAUCACAUAGAUGACUUGAAAAAGGAAAAUGAAAUGCUUAAGAAGAAGAGCAAUGAGUUAAAUGAGAUUGUUUUAAGAUUUACAAAUGGACAAAAGAUGUUGGAUAACUUGAUUAAUUCACAAAAAAUGUGUGUUUGAUAAAGGAGGACUUGGUUAUAAGCCACAUUUGAAACAAAAGUAUUAUAGGAACUACUUUGUGAAGAGUACAUCUACUAACAAUCAAGUUGUAUGUCAUUAUUGUAAUCAAAACGAUCACAUGAAGCUUGGUUGUCCUAUUAAAAGAAAAGUAUAUUAUGGAGUAAAAUGUGUUUUGGUUCCAAAAGGAAAAAGCUUCUGACUGAAGAAGAGUGAAAUACAGACUUUGAAGUACCACAAACGCGCACAAUCAAGCGGGUUAAGUUUUGAAUGCAAGAAGACAUCGCUGGAAGUUGAUUGUGCCAAAUCUUUUCAACAUUAAUGGCAGAAAGUUUCAAGGACUCCAAGUUGGGGAAGGCAACCCACAGACAUAGUUCAGGUUUCAAUUUACUUUCGUAUAAAUGUAAGAAAUGAUAUUUUACGGUAUCAUAAACAUGCCAUAAGGAUGAAGAAUCUCUCUUUCUGAUAAAAGUUAACAUCCAAUAGUACAAAGUUUAGUCUAACUUAGAAAUUAUGAGGAAAAAGUAGUCUCCUUCUUAUUGACAAUUAAUAUAAGAAUCCCUUUUAAAUAAAGUAAUUAUAACAGAAAAAGAAACUAAUUAAGAGCUAAUAUUUGAUAGCUAUCAUCAAUAUUUAUAGCUAUCAUCUAUAUUUACAUAGGAAACGGAUCUUAAAAUAUCUCUAGGAUUAAGGCUAAAAUCAAGGCCUAAUUUCCAACACUCCCCCUCAAGCUGGUUUGAAGAUAUCUUCCAUAGCCAGCUUGCUAGUCAACUUAUCAAAUUGCUUCUUGUGCAAUCCGUUUGUUAAUACAUCGGCUAAUUGUUCAUUUGUUGGAAGAUAUGUCAUACAUAUUUUUCCAGUAUUGAGUUUCUCCUUGAUGAAGUGUUUAUCCACUUCUAUAUGUUUUGUUCGAUCAUGAAGAACUGGAUUAUGAGCUAUAGAAAUAGCAACUUUGCUGUCACAAUAGACUUUCAUAGGAGUUGAGAAAGCAAAUUUCAGUUCUUCAAGAAUUCUUUUUAUCCACAUAACCUCGCAGAUUCCAUGGGCAACAACUCUGAAUUCUGCUUCUGCACUACUUCUAGCAACCACAUUCUGUUUUUUACUCCGCCAUGUAACUAGGUUCCCACCAACAAAGGAACAGUAGCCAGAUGUUGAUCUCCUAUCAGUGACACUUCCUGUCUAGUCUGCAUCAGUGUAGACUUCAACUUGAAGAUGUCCAUGUUUUUUGAACAUUAGGCCCCUCCCUGGAGUUCCUUUUAGGUAUCUUAAGAUCCUGUAGACUGCCUCAAAAUGCUCUGCCCCUGGUGAGUGCAUAAACUGACUUACCAUGCUGACUGCAAAGGCGAUAUCAGGUCGCGUAUGAGACAAGUAGAUCAACUUCCCUAUGAGUUUUUGAUACUGUUCCCUAUCCUUUACUUCUUCAACCUUAGCAGGUUGUAACUUCAAGUUAGGAUCAAUUGGGGUCUCUACCAUCUUACAACCAAGCAAACCUGUUUCUCCAAGGAGAUCAAGAACAUAUUUCCUCUGAUUCACAAAUAUACCUUCCUUGGAUCUUGCAAAUUCCAUUCCAAGGAAAUACUUAAGGACUCCCAAAUCCUUAAUUUGAAACUUCUUUGCAAGUCUCUUCUUGAGGGCUGCUAAUUCUGUUUCAUCAUCACCAGUUAAAAUGAUAUCAUCAACGUAAACAAUCAAAAUUGCAAUUUUACCGUCUUUUGAGUGUUUAUAAAAUAUUGUGUGAUCUCCUUGACUCUGCAAGAAGCCAUAACUGAUAACUGCCUUUCCAAAGCGUUCAAACCAUGCUCUUGGUGACUGUUUGAGACCAUAUAAUGACUUUCUUAAUCUGCAGACUUUAUCACUACCAAGACUCUUCUCAAAUCCUGGUGGUAGACUCAUGAACACCUCCUCUUUAAGAUCACCAUUGAGAAAUGUAUUUUUAACGUCAAGUUGGUGUAAAGGCCAAUCACAAUUCACUGCAAGAGAUAACAAAAUUAUGAUAGAAUUUAUUUUAGCAACAGGAGUAAAAGUCUCAUGAUAGUAAAUCCCAUAAGUCUGAGUGAAGCCUUUAGCCACCAGCCUCGCCUUGUACCUCUCAACGCUUCCAUACGCGUUACAUUUUAUCCUAAACACCCACUUACACCCAACUAUUUUCUUGUCUCUGGGUGGAUCAACUAUCUCCCAAGUACCACUUCUCCUCAAGGCAUUCAUCUCCUCCAUGACUGCUAAUUUCCAAUUCGGGUCAUCCAGUGCUUCCUGUACAUUUCUUGGAACAAACAAGUGUGAAAUCCUAGAUGUGAAAGCUUUAUGGUUUUUUGACAGUCUUUGAUAGGAAAGAUAAUUUGCAAUAGGAUGUUUGGUGCAGUUUCGAACACCUUUCCUAAUAGCUAUAGGGACAUCAAGAUCAGAAAUAAUUGGUGAAUUAUUGGAAACAAUCGAAGGAAUCAAAGCUGGAGUCAAGAUCAAGAAUAAUUGGUGAAUCAUUGGAAACAAUAAAAGGAAUCAAAGCUGGAGCUGGGAUUUGAUUACCUGAAAUUUCAGUGCCGGAACUCAGUUUUUCAAAUUGGGCUUGUGUAGGAUUGACAUUCAAGUCUUUACUUCUCAGAUGAAAUCUCUUCCUAGUAUAAACCUGAAGUUCAGAAUUUAGAUCAUGUUGAUCUGUUUGUAGUACUUCUCCCCCUGAAUGAGAAUCUCCUGUACUAGGCACUAAAGAACUUGUUUUCCUCAACUGAUCAUUAUCAGAAAAGUGUGAUCCUUGAAUAGGACAAAUAACUUUUGGAAGUGGGAUAGAAAUGUCCCAAAAAUUGUCUUCUACUCCAUUUGUCUCCCCCUGAAGAGAAUUUUUUAUGAAAUAAGGAGUUUUUUCCAAAAACGACACAUCCAUACUCACAUGAAAUGUUUUUGUUUGAGGGUCAAAACACUUAUACCCCUUUUUGUUCGAUGAAUAACCCAAAAAUACACACUUUAUAGCACGUGGGUCAAGUUUUGAACGAAAUUGACUUGGAACAUGAACAUAGACAGUACACCCAAAAACUUUGACGGGUAAAUCAGAAAACAACCUUGUUGCAGGAAAAAAUUCUUUAAGGCAAUCAAGGGGGGUUUUGUAUUUUAACACCUUGGUAGGCAUCCUGUUUAUUAAAUAAGCUGCUGUUAAAAUUGCUUCACCCCAUAAAUACUUAGGAAUAUGCAUGUAAAACAUUACGGCACGUGCUACUUCAAGUAAAUGUUUAUUUUUCCGUUCUGCAAUGCCAUUUUGUUGAGGGGUAUUCCGACAUGUAGAUUGAUGAAAAAUGCCUUUAUCAUUCAAAUAGGGUAUUCCGACAUGUAGAUUGAUGAAAAAUGCAUUUAUCAUUCAAAAACUCACUCAAGUGCUCAUUGAAAUAUUCAGUUCCAUUGUCAGAAUGUAAAAUACCAAUUCUGGUUUGAAAUUGAUUUUCAAUCAUAGCGUAAAAAUUUUCAAAUAAAUAUUUUACGUCAGAUUUUUUAUGCAUGAGAUAAAUCCAACAUAAACGAGUAUGGUCAUCAAUAAAAGUAACAAACCAUUUUUUACCGGAAAGGGUAGUGACCUGAGAAGGACCCCAAACAUCACUAUGAAUCAAAUAAAAAGGUUUGGAGGCCUGGUACUGUUUUGGCAAAUAAGUAGAACGAUGAAGUUUUGCAAAAGUGCAACAUUCACAAUAAAAAGAAGAGCAAUCAAUCCCUUUAAAUAAUUCUGGAAAUAAGUAUUUCAAAUAAAGAAAACUAGGAUGUCCUAGUCUAUAGUGCCAUAGCAUUAUUUUUUCUCGAACAGAAAUUGAACUAGUACUAAUAAAGUUCUGAGCUUUUUUAUUACUAAUAGGUACUUCAUCAAAGUAGUAAAGACCUUCAAUCAUCCUAGCACGUCCAAUCAUCAUCCCCGAGUUCUGGUCCUGAAAUUCACAAUGUGAUUCAAAUAAGGUAAUACGACAAUUAGAAUCUCUAGAUAAUUUACUAACAGACAAAAGAUUGCAGGCUAAUUUAGGGACAUGAAGAACAGAAUUGAGAUUAAUUUUCUCGGUCAGUUUGAUAAGUCCUUUUCCUGCAAUAUGCAGGCUAAUUUAGGGACAUGAAGAACAAAAUUGAGAUUAAUUUUCUCGGUCAGUUUGAUAAGUCCUUCUCCUGCAAUAGGUGAAAAACUACCAUCGGCAAUUCUAAUUUUUUGAUUUCCAGAACAAGGAGAAUAGGUAUUAAAUAAAUGAAAAGAACUAGUCAUGUGAUCAGAGGCUCCAGAAUCUAUGAUCCAUGGAGAAGAGUUUAAACAAGAAAGGGCUAUAGGAUUUCUACCUGUUUUUGCCAAAGAAACACUAGGAAUACCAGACGAGAAGUUGGAUUUUAUCAGCUUCAGGAGUUGAUCAAUCUGCUCUUUGUUAAAGUGGCCUGAGUUGGCUUCAUUGGCCGAAGGAAUCCCACGAUUCUUCUCUCCUUGCUUGCUGCUUUUCCAGUUUUCAGGUUUGCCAUGAAGCUUCCAACACUUCUCACGUGUAUGGCGAGGCUUGUGGCAAUGAUCGCACCAGGCCUGUGACUUAUCAUCAGACCUGCGCUGAUAAUUUGCAGUCUUGUAGGCUGCUGCAUCAGUAAUUAAGGCAGAAUUCUCAAUUGACUCACCGGCACUCCUUUUCCUGAGCAUUACGCUCCUUCGACUUUCUUCUCUUCUGACUUCAGCAAAGACUUCGCCAAUGGGUGGUAGAGGAGGUCUGCCAAUAAUCCUCCCUCGUACUUCAUCAAACUCAACAUUGAGGCCGGCAAGAAACUUGUAAAUACGACUGUCUUCCACGGUUUUCUUGUGGUGGUUGCAGUCAUCAGCGGAUUUCCAUUCAUAUGUGUUGAAGAGGUCAAGAUCUUGCCACAACCUUUUCAAAGAAUUGAAAUAUUUGGUGACAGAAUCAUCACCUUGACGAAUCUCUCCCAACCUUAAAGUUAACUCAAAAACCUGAGAUUGGUUGCCCAGGUCAGAAUACAUCUGACUAACGUUGUCCCACAAUUCUUUAGCAGUAGGAUAGCACAUAUAAUUGGAGCUUAUAUCCUCCUCCAUGGAGUUGACCAGCCAUGUCAUAACCAUGGAAUUUUCAGCAUCCCAAGUGGCAUACAGCGGAUCAUCAUUAGCAGGAACCUUCUUGUCACCAGUGAUGUAACCAAUUUUUCCUUGCCCACGGAUAUACAUCCGGACAGAUUGCGACCAGCGGAGGAAGUUGUCGCCAUUUAAGCGGAUGGUGGUGAUUUGAACAGAAUGAGAGUUGGAGUGGUUUCGCAGGGUCUCAGAUGUUUUUUCUGGAAUGGCAGCAGCAAGGGUUUGAGUGGUUUCAGACGUGACUUCUGACAUGGUUGCAGACACGAUUCCCUAUGCUCUGAUACCAACUUAGAAAUUAUGAGGAAAAAGUAGUAUCCUUCAUUUUUACAAUCAGUACAAGGAUCCCUUUUAAAUAGAGCAAUUAUAACAGAAAAGGAAACUAAUUAAGAGCUAAUAUUUGACAACUAUCAUCUAUAUUUACAGAGGAAAGGAUCCUACAAUAUCUCUAGGAUUAAGGCUAAAAUCAAGGCCUAAUUUCCAACAAUUGACAUUAUUGUUUGAUACGAUUUCAUAUGUUUGGUCUUGUAUACAUUUAUGCCUCAUGCAUUAAAAUGGCUUAUAAAACAUUUUUGGAUCAAUUAGUUAGUAUUUCAGGGGCAAGUAAUCGAGUAACGGAUGCACUCUCACUCUUAACAGAACCAGCAGAGUGUUCAGCUUUGGCGAUUCCUCAGUGGCAACAUUGGGAUUCCUUAAAGGUUGAGUUGGCAGAGGAUACCUUUCUGAAGAAACUAAGGGAAGACAUAACUUCGGGUACACAAUCUCACGUGGGGUUCUCAGUUGAGCAUGGAGUAUUGUUCUACAAGAGUCGGCUGGUUAUUCCUCAGACUACUAAGCUUCUUUUUGCUCUCAUAGGAGAGUUUCACACCACUCCGAUUGGGGGACAUUCGGGAGAAACAAAAACUUACCUACGCUUAGCAGCAGAAUUGUAUUGGAUAGGUAUGCGCAAGGAUGUCACCAGAUUUGUACGGGAAUGCACCAUCUGCCAGCAGAAUAAGUACUUGGCCACUACUCCCGCAGGGUUACUUCAACCUAUUCGACUACCAGCCCAGGUUUGGGAGGAAGUCACACUUGAUUUUAUUGAGAGGUUGCCUCGUUCUGAAGGGUGGGAUGCCAUCUUAGUAGUGGUGGACAGGCUGAGUAAGUAUGCUCACUUCAUAGGAUUGAAACAUCAUUUUUCUGCUGUUUCGGUUGCUGGAAUCUUUGUUCGUGAAAUUGUUAGGCUUCAUGGGAUACCACAGUCAAUUAUCUCUGACCGAGAUAGGAUAUUCUUGAGCCAUUUUUGGAGUGAAUUGUUCAAGCUGCAGGGAACUACUCUCAAAAGAAGCACCGCCUAUCAUCCACAAUCUGAUGGACAAACAGAAGUUGUCAACCGUUGUUUGGAAACGUAUCUAUGCUGCUUUGCUUCUGGAAAACCUCGAAGUUGGGCUCGCUCGUUGGCAUGGGCUGAGUAUUGGCAUAAUACUUCCUUCUACUCUUCUACACAUUGUACUCCAUUUCGUGCUCUCUAUGGAAGGGAUCCACCCCCUCUUAUUCGGUAUGAGCAAGGAGCUGCUUCGGUAUCUUUGGUAGAACAGUUAAUGGAGGAUCGUGAUGCCAUACUGGACGAUCUGAGGAUGCAGUUGCUUCGUGCCCAGCAGCGGAUGAAGCUGCAAGCUGAUCAAAAGCGCCAUCAUGUAGAGUUCAAUGCAGGUGAUUUGGUAUUUCUGAAACUAAGACCUUACCGGCAGCGCUCCCUCGCUCAACGUAAGUUUGAGAAAUUAGUUGCACGUUACUACGGUCCAUUUAAGGUUCUUCAGCGUGUCGGGAAGGUGGCAUACAAACUAGAACUGCCUCAAACAGCAAAACUCCACCCUAUCUUUCAUGUUUCGCAGUUGAAAGAUAAGGUUUCAAACAACAAACUACAUACUAGUUUUCCUACUUCCAACAACAUUCUGCUCUCUACUGUGUUGUUUAUCUAACCAUUUCAGUUCAGGGCUUAUCAGUUGUUUCUUAUGGUAUUUAUAUAUCCGACAUAUUCUAGUUCGACAUGUAACGAUGUAGUUUGGUUGGUUCUUCUUGCUUUUUGUGCAAUUUGUAACUGCAGAUACGUGUGGGAAAACAUUUAAUGGAUCUUGUUGCUGUUGAUUAGUUCAAAGACAAAGAGAAUGGACCAUGUAGCUAGGCGUCAAGGCUGUGAUGCACAAGUAACUAUUCUUUUCUUUUUUAUUUUUCCUUUUCCAUUGACGGAUUAGAAGAAAAUACUGCCUGUGAGAUACUACAAUAUAAAUAACUUCUGGUGGUUCAUUGAAUCUAUAACACUCUGAGCCCUAUUCUAAAAUAUGUAGGUUGCUUCCAAAAAAGGGCUUUUCUCACUGAUCUUUAAUCUUCAAGUAAGCUUGUUUCAUUUCAGAAGGUAUUAAGUUUCAAACUUAUCGUUUUGGGAGGUUGUAUGGUUGUAACGUAAGCAUCUGCAGGUUCCUGGUUCAACAAAUUAUAGUAUGGUAUUUUAUUUUGUCACAAGGGAAUUAAUUACAGGAUCCCUUUUGCAAUGGUUUGUUGACGGCGAUGAUGAAUUUCGCAAUGAAACUUAUCCCAUCCGUUCCUAAGGUAUCCGUCUUGGUCUUCAUGUAUUAGGACUAUGUUAACUAAUACGUACCCUCCGCUGCAUAGUACACUUUAAUUUGUACAAAGAAGGCAUGCAUUUAGGUGUAAAUGUAUUAAUGGGUUGUACCUUCAAACUUCAUUUCCUUUUUCUACCGAUUUGAAUUUGUUUUGCAUUUGUUCUUGAUUUUAAGCAUUGAAUCAUGCAGGGGUCAUGGAUCGUGCGCCAGAGUGAUGGAAGCACCCCUUGUUUAUUAGGAAAAGCAGUUGAUUGUAACUAUAUCCGCGGUCCUAAGUACUUAGAAGUAAAUGCUCUUCGAAUUUCUAUAGUACAUGGGAUGUGUUCCCUUUCGAAUAGCUUGUUCAAUACCAUUAACAUGGUUUAACAUUGUUCAUCUUUCUGCAGAUUGAUGUUGGCAUGUUCUUCUACUGUUGCUAAUGGAGUUUUGGGCCUUGUAAUUGGUGUAAUUACGGCAGUGGUGGUUGACAUGGCUUUCCUUGUACAGGUAUGUAUGAUUGUUUUUUUCCUCUACUUCUAAAUGGACACAAGGGAAAAGACAUGAUUUUGAGAUAUUGUACUGCAAUUUGCAUAUUUGCAUACUUGAAUGUUCUCAGAAUGGUAUAAUGCUUCGUGUAUGCAGGCAAAUACUACAGGUGAAUUACCGGAGCGGCUGAUUGGAGCUGUACGUGUUUCUUAUAUAGAACUCAAGUCUGCUAUUGUCCCAAAGUUGGAACCAGAGACAUCAUGACUGUGUUUUCAUUUCACCUCAACUGUUUGUUUUUAAUUUAAAAAAAAUCAUUUGUUUUAGGUAUACAUACAUGUAUUUUGAUCCCGUUUUCAUUGUAAUUUCUCAUUUACUUUGAAAGAAAGUCAUUGGUGUUUUCGAAUGGGAAUUUUGCAUUAAAAAAUAAAGAAUACUUAAUAGGAAAUUUCAUGAUUCUUUAGUUACUAUUUUUGGAAUGAGUGUAAUAGUAUUAAAGUUGGUUUCUACUCGCAAACAAGUGAACUACUCGAUCCCCAACUGCGACCACUACUUUUAAAACUCAACAACUAACAAAAAUACUAAUAAAAAAAUGAUUUUCUUAUGAUGCUGUGAAAACAUUUAUGGGUUCACUUAUUUCCACAAGAUCUAUAAAAUGGUAUUGACUUCACGAAAUUCUUUUAAUUUAAAGGGUGUUGGUCUGAGAAAGUCAGUGUGACGGAUUAAUUUCUUCUAAUAAUGGUCGAUUUAAUUUUACUAUGCUCAUAAAACUAUUCUUAUUCUGAUAAUGUCAUAAAUGUUAUGAUGUUUUCUUCAGCUAAUGAUCUUCUAUCAGGACUAGUUAGAAAUCAAAUGCUUAAAACACCAAUUGAAUGAAUGAUGCAGAAGUUUAAACAGUAUCUAAUUGAAAAUUGCCUGAAACAUGAAACAUCAAUUCAAGUCCUUCCUUAAACAGAGAAUGCAUCAAACAAAUCCAAAGUGUCUUUCAAGUCUGUAGCAUGACUAAAAAAUUGUAAAUGCGUUCAGAACCAAAUUAUUCAAGUACAGGAGAACGAGCAAGUUGAAUCAUGUACAAGAGGUUGACCUAGUUCUAGAUAGCUUCUUCACUGUACCUGAAGGGUUGGCUCAAUCUUUUCUUUAGAAUUCUGCACAUUUUGUAAUUACUCGUGUAAGCAAGCAUACAUUACAAUCAUAAUAAUAAUAAAGCAAGAGUAAUGAUACGACCACAACCUCUUGUGCACAAAUAAUAUUGUACAAACUAACAUGACAUAAUAUGAUUGAGUAAUGAUACGACCACAAUCUUUUGUGCACAAAUAAUAUUGUACAAACUAAUAUGAUGUAAUAUGAUUGAUUAAACAAAAACAUAACAUAACCCUUAUAAUUUAUUUAUUAUUAUUUUAUAUUUUCAAUCAAGCAAUCAUAUUAUGCCACGUUAAUAGCUAUAGAAAUAAUUUGCUAGAUAGUGCCAACACUUCAUUGAUACUCACCAUUUCAUUGAACAAUUUUUUUAUGGUGUCAUUGAGGUUUCCUUCCCAACAUCCUUCGUCAUCACCAUCUUCUUCUUCGGUGGGUUUCACUUUGUUUAGCUUCGGUGCGUCUACGACUCCUUGAGAGAAAAUCUUCAUUGUUGGGCACUGUCUCACAACUACGUGUUCCAAGGACGGGAACUCAAGAGCGUAAUUACCCAAACAAAAGCUUGUUAGGCUUGGCAAACAAUCAAGUCCCAAGUACUCCAAUUUCCUGAAAACAAUGCAAUCUUCCGCUUCUUCUCCAACCUGCGAUUGUAUGAUUUCUUCUAUCAUUUUGCAAUCAGCUAUCUUCAUUCUUUCGAGAUUCACUAGAGUUUUAGAUGUUGAGAGCGUCAACACAUUUAUCAACCCGUGACACUUCGAUACUUCUAGUUCCCACAGAUUUUCCAAAUGCCACGAAGGUGGUACUAAUUUUUGCAACUUACUACAUUCCGAUAUUUCUAGACUUCCCAAGUUUGCAAACGCUUUGCUGGAUUCGUCAUUUUCCUUCCAGAGAUGCUGCACUUUGUGUAAUCCAGAUACUUUAACUCUAUCAAUUGAGGGAAUGCA